rnacentral:lncRNA from 1 species
UUGUUUUGACUUAGUUUUUAUGUACACUGAAUCCAAAGCCGAAAGGGGUCAUCAGAUCAGUCCCCCCAAAAAAGAAAAGGUGACUACUCGUAGAAUGGCAAUGUCAAUGGCUCAGCGAGUCAUAGUAUUGGGUCCAGUCAUGGAGAAGUUUCUUUCUACACUGAAAUAAAACUAUGUUGUGCUUCUUCAUGAUGGGUCUUUGUCCUACUGCUUUGUAGGGGCUAAUCUAAAUUCCUCUAGUGGAAAACAGGUAGAAGGUAGACUGAAGGGGAAGGCCGCAUAGUCGUUUUCUCCAUAUUAACUAAUAUUUGCCAAUUGAUUGCCUAUGGCCCACUUAUAUAGCUGCAGUCUGGUUAUAGAAAUAACAAAAACAGUUAUUUCUAGAUCCCAAAACUGCUUUCACAUGGUCUUUUUGGUGUAAACCCAAAUUUGUGUUUUCCGGGUUCAGAUUUGUGUUCUCACCUUUGUUGGGGCAAGGCUGCUAUCACCUCAACUAACAACUUGUUGCUAUUGCAUUGACAUAAUCAACAGCAAACUAGUGCCAAUUUGGGUUUCAACUCAUAUACGCAAUAUGUCUCGUGCCUGUGCCAUGGCCCUUGAAUAACUUAUGUACAAGCACCAUUGGACUGCCUGUGUUCAAACUCUCAAGAAACUUUAAGCUUUUGACGUGUAAUUCCCAAUAGGAUGUUUCAUUUCAUGUCUCACAUACACACAUUAGGUCCUGCAAUUCUGAUUAAACAAUCUCAAUCUUAAUCUUAGCAUAACAUGAUUGAAACAAAGACCUCAGGACACAAAUCAUGGCAUCGGAGAGCGCAUAGAAUAUGCAUUCUGCCCUACUGUAACAUUCUCUAGACUGUUGUUAUUCAAAGCAACCACUUCGAUUCAGAGAAUAUUCAACCGAUGGUUAGUAUUCAAAAUGUGAAGAGGAAAAAGUGAUUAUAAAGAAAAGGAUACCAAAUCCUCAAGUUGCAACAUAAGGCUAUGACAAUAAUUCGUCAUGUACCAUGUCAUGGCAAAUACUAUUACUGGUAGUCCUAUCUUCAAUAUGUUUAUGUGCCAGUGUGUGCAUGUAAUUAUACACACACAUUAAUUGAAUACAUACUGUGUGAAGUCAGCAACUCAUCAGAUUAUGUCCUGUAACAAAUAAAUUAUUAAAGAAGUGUAAAUAAUUUCUCUUAUAUCCUUAGUUUAUAUCUAACACUGAAGAAAACUAAUAGAAGCAUAUUGGAUUAUCAGAAAGUACUUCUCAGUAUUUCUUUCCUACUUUAAAUGGUUCAGUUACAUGGUCAGCAAAACUGAAUUCAUCUGUAGCCAGAAAUACCAUCAAUGACAGGUGUACAUUGGCAUAAACAACAGUAAUUUAUGACAAAUGGAGCAAAUGGGUGGAAUAAUUGAACUAAAGAUAUUAGCAUGAACAUGCCAAUUCCUCAACGAUGACGAAGGGAACUAGAAGUCUGCACAACCAUCUACACAGAAAACUGUUUCUCAACAAUAUUUUCAUCUGAUUUCAAAAUAACUUCGGCAACAAUUCAAAAUGGUAAAAAGUAAAACCUCAUGUCACUAGAGUGCAAAGUCUUGGUUACCGGAUCACCCCAGUACUCUUUAUAUCUUUUAAUAGUUAGUCGCAAAUUACAAAAGCAUUCCACAAAAGGCUCCCUGGAGAACAACAUAUCAACCCUCAAAGGUUGUAAAUACCAAUUGUAUUUAACCACCAACAUCACUACAAAAUAUUUUCUUCAGAACAAUAUCUGAAUAAACCGUUGUCCAAUGGAGACAAUCAUGAUUCAAUUUUACGUCUUAAUUAACUCAGUUCUACCACAAACUAAGUUCCCAAAGUUUUCACCAAAAGGUCCCUAUGUUACAUUAGCAUGAAGCCAUGAACCUAGAAUAGUUAACAACAUAAAAUGUUUUCCAAAACUGGAAUUGAUCAUAAGUUGCUAGGAUAAGAUACAAGGUAGAAUUUGAUUGUUGCAGCUACAUGCAUCUAAUAUAAGCACAAAACUUACUUUGUGUGGUUUCAAUGCAAUUAUGAUGCCAGAAAUAUCAUGCUAGAAUGAGUUCUAUAGUACACUACAAAAGAUAGGGUCUUGAUCUCAAAGAACAUGCGUACUUCUUGCCUUUGAACCAUGAAAAGAUGUGCCACAACUGCAAAUAGCUUGUAAGCUCAAUAAGAGAUACUUAAAUUCCAAUAAAGAACGAAGUACUAAUUUCACAGCUGAAUACUUUGCACUCGUAUUGUUUAUCAUGCAAAUGCGGUCAAUCACGAUUAUUCUUCCACAACCAAAUUUCUUCUGAACCAUAAGAAUAACAUACAACAAAAAAAGAAACAUGUAGCUAAUUCUGCAGUUCAAUUGUGCAUCAAGGUUAUAUUCAUACCUCUACGGUGAUACUAAGAAGCAGUACUUACACAAGUAUGAGUUGACUUUGUCUGUUCAAAUUCUCAAAGUUAUUCAUUUCCAUUAUGAUUAAUCAACAAAUGAUAUGUUAACUAUUGCGAAUGCCAUAGUAAUAUGAAAACCAGUGCGAUUAUAAUGGAUGCCUCAAACAAUCCCCUUCUAAGUUUUGAUCCGCUGACACUGUUAGGGAGAAAAGAUUCAGUAUCAUCAUGCCAUCUCAUGGUACAGAGUAGUUACCGAAUUAGAUAUAACAAUAUUUUUUUCAUUUUGUUUUUCUUUUGUCCCUAUGAAUAAAAGGAUCAAUCAACAGAGGAAAAAGAUGUCAGCAUGGCUUGAAAAUGAAAAAAAAUUAAACACUAAAAACAGAACCUUGAGAUUAAGACCAUAUAUUGAAUCUUGUCAAUAAGUGACAUGUAAUCCUAAUCAAUCCAACACCAACCUCUCAAAUGUUAUAAAGCAAGAUAAGGAUUAUAAGGACCAACAGAAAGAGAUGAUUAGGUCCUCAUCCUCUCUGCAAGAAAACAGAUAAGUCGAGCGUCUGGAUUGCUUAAUCAAGGCCCUUAAUGCAAACAAAGUCCAGUGAACCUCAUCGAAGUCUUGAAACUGUAUUUCGCUCUCAAUGUACCUUUCAGUGAUACGGUUUUCUAAAACAACUAAAAAACCAAUUAAAAGAUAAAAAACAAUUCAACAUCUCUUUCCAAAGACAAGACCAUACUACUAACACCUGCUGAUAUCUCAAAGACAUGAUGAAUUAUUUUUCAAGCAUCAAACCAAAAAGGGUACUAAAAUAACAGAGAAAUCAAAGAAGAAAACAACAUAACCAAAGAAACAUGCUUCAAAGAACACAAUUCUUUUUCCUUUUUGUUUUUUGACUUUAUAUUUAAACUGCAAAUGUAAAGACUAUGAAUCAAUGUUUAACUAAAACAAGAAUUGCUAAGAAUAAGAGAAUAAUAAUGAUAACAAUACAUCAUACAGAAUAAUAAAACUUUCUUUUACCGACGCUCAAACAAGUAGUAACAGAGGAAUCUAAUCGGAAAAUAGUGAACUUUCCGAUUUCUUCUUCUUUUGCUGAUAAACCCCAUUUGCAUCAACGCCACAAUAUUCCUAGCCAUAGGAAUCUUCCAUUUUUUUUGAAUAAUUUAUUUAGAGCAAUCCCUUGCAAGAUGACCUUCUUCUCCACAAUUAAAACAUUGUCCUCCAGCUCGUCCUUCUCCCCGACCACUUCCACCACCGCCGCGGCCGUAUCUUUUACUUCCAUCAUCAUCUCCACGGCCACCACUGUAUAUCUUGCUCCCACCACCAUCUUGAUAACAAUCCCUCGCUAAAUGCCCCGUCUUCCCACAAUUAUAACACGCACCACCACCACCAUAACCGCCUCUCCUGUAACCGCCCCUACCACCUCUACCUCUUACACUACCCCGGCGAGAUCGGGAAAGAGGAGUCACAUCGACGGCCUUAGCACGACCAUCUUCGCCUAAAUCGAGGGAGAAUUCAACAGGCUGGUCAUCAGAGAGGGUGCGAAAGCCUUGGGAAAGAAUAGAAGUUUGAUGGACGAAAAGAUCAUCGCCGCCGUCAUCGGGGGUUAUGAAACCGAAACCUCUUCGGGCACUGAACCAUUUAACUGUGCCAAUGGAUUUCUCGGUGCUGGUGGCCUCAGCCAUUGGCUUCUAGAAGAUUCUAGACAAUUUACCAGAAAUUUCGGUUUUUUUAUUAUAAUUUUUUGGUCAGUGGAUUUUUGCCUUUCUGGACGCGCCAAGAAUAUUGGUGGCGGGUUUUCUUUUUCUGGGUUGUUGUGGGACCCGAUUGGUAGAUCGGAAGGUAGAAAUGUGAGGAUUGGAUUGGAUCUAACGGUUGAAAUUUUUUGGUGGUUUAUCCAUUUGGUGGGUAUUUGUUUGACUGGUUUAUUACCUUCAGCUUAACGUCUCAUUUAUUGACGUGAAAAAUUACGCGGCAAAAAUAUCAAAUUGAUGAACAUUUUUUUAGAUGAAAUUAUGAUUUUACAACUUAAAUUAAAUCAAGAAAGCGAAUUUCAUAUCAUUUAAAAAAUUAUAUUUAUUUUGGAUAAAAUAUUUUUACUGUUUUUAUUUAAUAGCAAAAUAAAUUUAUAUUUUUAAUAUGUUUAUUUUUGGCUAAUUAUAAAAAAAAAUACUAUUAAAUUUUAGAUUGUUAUUAUCAGGAAUGAAGUUACUGUGUUGAAUUCCAUCUCUUACAAAAAUGGGCUAAAUUGGAACAAAAAAUAAAGAGAAAGGCUUAAUUGAAAGAUUGAAGAUUUAAAUAUGACUGAAUAAAGAUUGAAAGGUUGAAUUUUUUUUUUCAAAAGUGGUUAGGUAAAGAUUAAAUGAUUUUUAAUAUUGUUACAACUCUGUGAUUACUUUAUAUUCUAGUUUAAAUUUGAUUUUUAAAUUUUGAAUUAUUUAGUAAUAAUAUUCAGGAAAAAUCUAGCUAAAUUUUAGCACUAAAAGUAUAUAUAAAUACCUAAUAGUUACAACUAAUUGAACAUAGUUUGGAAUUGAUAAAAAAAUUCCUUUAUUUGUCAAUCCAUUCUUCUUUUUACUUUCAACCCUUUUGGUUUAAUUAUCUUUUAAGGCUUUUUCCCUUUUCAUUUUCUAUAAUUCUAUUUAAACCAUUUAUUAUGAUUCUUUUAAUGAUUAGCUAAACCUUUUUUAGUAUUAGCUCGGAAAUUACUCCAACAAAAUAAUUAUGAGAUUCAAACCCACUAAAAAAACUCUACUUCUCUAUACUAUCAUUUACUGUUAUUUUAUUAUAAGAAUUUAUAUUUGGUGGUUUCGACGCCCAUCAUUAAUAUGUAUUUUUUAAACUUAAGUUUUUUAAGCAUAAUAAUAAAUCUAGUUAUUAAGGUUUGCAUUUUUUGUCUGUUUGAAUUUUUUAGUUAAAUUUGAUCUCAAUUUUUUAAAAAAAAUCAAAUCAUUUUUAACGAAAAUAAUAAUUAAAACAUUAAUUUUAAUUAUUUGAAUUAAAUUUCAUUUAAUUAAAAAUAUUAAAAUAAUUUGAUUAAUUAAAUAAAAGUAAUCAAGUUUACCCCCUCACAUUUGAUUAAUUAAACACUUUUCUUUUGCUAGUAAAUUUUUAAACAAUUUCUCUUAAUUCAUUAAUUUAUCAAGUAAAGUGCAUUCAUAAAAUUAAAUAGUUUAGGAUGAAGGUAUCCUUACAAAGUCAACUAUGAAUAUGAUCUUAAUACAUUAUAGAGGAUGAAAAAAUUAAAACAACAAGCUCAAAACUAAAAAUUUUUGUGGUCGAUAGAUUAAGAUAGUUGCUUCCUAAACAAGCAAACAUAUUUGCACACUUGUUGCUUUCUUUAAAAAAUAUGUUUCAUUGUUGCUUGUGGAGAGCACUUGAAAAGCAUUCUACAAUUAUACACCAAAGUAAAUAAAGCAUGGUUAUUCAUAAUUGUGCUUUUAAUCAAACUAAUAACAUUACUAGCAUCAAUUUCAAUUUCCAAUCCAGUGGUAUUCAUGGUUUAGAAAGCUGUAACCUGUACUCAAGAGCCCACAAUUCAUCCUCAACACUAGAGGCUUUAGGAAUGUGUCGCAUUGAUCCUCUAACCCAAUGACCACUUCGAUACUUGUUAAUCCUAAGUUUUCCAUUGAUGAACCAUCAAUAUUCAACUUAAAACAAUCGUGAUAGGGGGCUUCCAAUGAACCUAUGCAUAAAAAGAAAUACCAAUAUGUUUUAGUGAGGGAGAAAGUACAACCUAUUCUCUUACCUUGGCCACAACUUUAGUAAUAACAUUGUCAACAUAAGGAAUAUUAUUAAAAAAUAGGGAAUUGCGCAUUAACCAAAUCUACCAUAAAAAGUAAAAAAUAGUGUUCCAUGGCAACUUAAGAGAGGUAAUCCAAUCAUUAGAAGUAACAUUAGUCAUAAUACAAGAAAACCAAUCCAGAUUUAUUCUCAAAGAAAAAUUUGGUGGUGGUUUAAGCUCUCCCAACCAAUUUUCCACUUGCACAAUCUCUAAAAAUGUGUUCUAUAGUUUCAACGUAGUUCUUACAUAAAGGGCAUAAAUCUUGAGCAUGAGUUCCCCAUUUUGGCUAAGAAAUAUCUGGUAGGAAUAGCUUUGUGGCAACAUUCAUAAAAAAAAAUUAGAAGAGAUUUCGAUUUUCCACAAAAUCUUCCAAACAUUAGUACUAGAAUUAGGCUCACAAAUAUUGUUAGCCACCAAGCCACAAGCAUUACCUAUGCUAAAUGCCCCAUGCUUGGAGAAAUUUUAAGAAGGGAAGUCUUCUCCUUCAAUUCCAAAACUCAUAGGAAUGCUUAAAAAGGCAUCGACAAUAUCAUGGGUUGGAGGAAGAGCAUGGGUUACCACUUAUUUGCUCAUAUUUAAUCUUAAACUUCUUAAUACUAAAGGCCUCUCCUCGCAAUUAAGAGGCCCCUCCAUAAGGCUUCUUGAAAGAUAUAACUCAACUAAUUAUUAAACAAAAAAUUGAUGUUUCUCCCAUUGUGCUUUCUCCACUUAAUACCUUUUCAAUAAAGUUACAACUUUUCUAAGAGAGCUCCAAACAAUGGAGGCAGGUCUUUCGCAACCUUAAGGUUUCUUAUUAUCCAUAAUAGGCUCGUAAUUCCUCUUUUUCAUUCAUAAUUCUCUAACCAAGCUUAAUGAGAAGGGCUUGAUUUCAAGCUUUUGUAAUUUUCACACCAAGACCUCUACAUUUUAGGCUUAGUAAUGGCCUUCCACUUCAUAUGAUGAUUAUUUUUGUGAUUAUCGUCCCCAUCCUACAUAAAAUCAUAGUUAAUACGAUCAAGGUCUUUGUAAACACUUGGAGGAACCAAAACACGUUGCGUGAAGUAGGUAGGAGUAGUCGAAGUGAUGGAUAGAUCAAAGUAGAGUGCCCCACAAGAGAAAAUAAGUUACUUUUCCAGUUACUAAGCUUAGAGUGGACUUCAUCAACAAUGAAACCACAACCUUGUUUAUAGACUCUUGAAAUGGAUAGGAAAAAAGUAAUGUAUCUACUAGUUACCAAGAUCUUUCAUCUUUUUAAUAUUAAGCUCAUGAAUGAUCAUACUUCUAUGACAAGUAUUAGUGUUAGGAGAGAAAAAUACUUUUGAUUUAGGGACACUGAUGCUUUUAACCUUAUUUUUGGCAGAACUCAAUUAAAACCCUCUUAAGGCAUUAACAAUUUUCUUACUCGUUUUAGCAAAAAGAAUAAUGUCAUCCUUAAAAAAAGUGAGAUAGUUUAGGACUUCUCCUAAAUAUGCAGAUGGGAUUCUAGUCUUUAUCCUUACCAACUUUUUCAUUACUCAAAGUGAGAUAGUGCAUACAAAGAAUAAAAAUGUAGGGCGACAAAUGGUUCCUUUAAUGAAUGUCCCUAAAGGUGUUGAGUUUUUCAAUAUGUUGGCCAUUAACCAUCAUUAACAAAGUCAAGGAUAAAACACAAUCCAUAAUAAGGGCAAUCCAUUUUUUUGAGAAUUCAAAGUAUGUAAGCACUUUGCAAAUAAAACCCCACUCAAGCUUGUCAUAAGCCUUUUCCAUGUCCAAUUUAAUAACCAUCAACCCCACACAACCUCUCAUUUUCUUAAAAGAAUGGAUAAAUUCUUGGACAAUAAAUGCAUUUUUUUAUUAUCUAUCCCCCAUGUACAAAACUGUUCUGGAAAAAAGAAGAUAACCUUUUUGUAACAGCCCGUUUUUUAGUGGUGUCAUAAAUGGUGGUUUUAGAACCCCAUUCGAUGAUUGAGUCAGUAAAUAUUAUCAUUUAAUAUUUACGAGUCUAUAUUGGUGUUAUAUUUAUUUUUGGCCUGACAAUUUUGUUGAACGAUUAGUAAUUAUGGUAUAAGGAUUAAAUCGUAAAAACUAUAAAAGUUAGACGCUAUUGAUUUUUAUUGGUUAAAAAAGACUUGAAUGGUAAUUAUUCAAGGAUUAAGUGGAAAAUAACCACUUUUUAAAAGCCAUGGAUGGUUAGUGGGAAUUUUUAUGUUUAAUUGUUAUCUAAAUUAAUGUUAAUUUGGAUUAAAAUAUAUUAAAACAUAAUAGCAUAAAAGAAAAGUGGCCAUCAUCAUCUUUCUUUCAUUCUCUUCAUUGUUUCUCCAUUUUUAAGAAGCUAAGAAAUUUAACCAAGCUUCUUCCUUUGCAUGUAAGUCCAUAUUGAGCUCCCUUUUUUUUUUGUAAAUUUUAUGUUUUUGAGUCGUUGUAGCUUGAUUUAGCUAGCCCAAAAAUUAAAUUGUGAAACUGUUAAAUUUUUAUAAUUUUUUCAUUGAUUAUUUUUUAAGCUUUCGGUGUUAAUAUGUUAGUUUAUAAGCUUAGAAAUGAAAAAGGACUAAUUUAUAAAGUAAAAGUUGUUAGUUUUGAACAUAAGGAUUAAAGUGUAAAGAACUUGAAUUUUAUGUUAAAUUUUUAUAAUUAUAGAUAUUAAAGGGCUGUAGAAGGAUGAUAUUGAAAUAGGAUUGAAAUACGAGGCUUAAAUGUGAAAUAUAUGAUAGUUUCAGUUUUAGGGACUAAAUUGAAUAAAAUGUGAAACUUUAGGGAAUUUGUAAAAAGUGAAAUUAAAGUGUCAUAUUCAUAUAAUAAUAGGUUAUAAGGUAAUUGAAAUUGAUAAUUUGAAAUGAACUACCGUAUAGAUCAAGAUUUGAAUCAACGGAUAGAUAAUCGAGGAAAAAAAUUGUAGAUUAGUCCCUAACACUUCAAUUAUCGUUGAUUGUACCUGGUAAGUUCAUAUGGUAUAGUUAUAUUCAUAUAUGUAAUGUUUGUGGUUGAAUCGUGCAUUUAUAUUAUUUGAAUGUACUUUAAACCGUUUACAAAAUGAUACAAAAAAGUGAAAAAAUGACUGAAUUGUAAAUAGUUGUUAUGAUAUGUUACUUGUGUAUGGAUGAACAUGUGAUAUGAUAGGAUACAAAUGGCAUGCCAAUAGGUUUAUUCGUAUGUUGUAUACGAGAUAUGCAUAAGAGUUGAUAUUGAUGUACGAAAAUUCACUGAUUGUACCGGAAUCCAACAUUUGUUGCGGAUUACUGAAUUUGUCUCCACGGAGACCACUGUUACCGAUUGUCUCUACGAAGACUUUGCUAUGGUGGAGGGAUGUACUGAUAUAUGAUAUAAGAGCCUAUGGACCUUGCAUUUAGGUGCUUUGGUGUGGUGUAGUCACUCGUGUAUCUGUAUUUAUUAUAGUUCAUCGGGCUAAACUGUUAAUGAAAAGAGAAAUGACGGAAUGAUGAUAUGAAUUGAAAUUGGAAAUGUUUAUACGAAAUGCUUACUUUGUUUCAUUUUCUAUUUUUGUAGUUGGCAUUAUUGGAUCACCUUAGAGCUCAUACUAUUCAGCUUCUGACUCAGUAGAUUUUUAACCAUUCCGAACUUGGUUAUGUGGCAUGUAUAUAGAAGUUGCAUUGCAUAUGCGUCAUACUUGAUUUUGGAUAUUUACUUAUUAUGUAUAUAAAUGUGUAUGAUGGCCAAACUUUGAAUGUUGAAUGGUUAAGGUAAUGUUAUACGAAUGGUGUAAAAUUGUUCAAUAUGUGAUGGUUGGGUGAUAGCUUAAUACGAUGACAAAUUAUGGUAUUCAGGAUCAUGAAUGUGGCUUGGACUUUGAAGGGCUAUACUUUAUAUGCAAGUUGUGUUUAUAUGUGAGUUGUCUUUAUAUGUAAGUUAUGUUAUAUGCGAGUUGUGUUUAUAUGCGAGUUGUCUUUAUAUGCAAGUUGUGUUAUAUGCGAACUGAGUUUAUAUGCAAGUUGAUUUUAUAUGCGAGCUAUGCUUAUCAAUGUGUAGACCUUGUAAAUGCGCAAGUUGUGUUUAUGUGUGAAUUGAUUUAAUAAAGUUGUUAUGUGUGAACUAACUUUGUAUGGUAUGUAUGUGCAAGCUCUUUGUGAAGUAUUUAAGUGUAAGUUGUACUAUUGUAGGAUCCUAUAACUCAAGUUCGACGACUGGACCAGGCGAAGGGUGUUAAACUUUUCAAGUAAUAAGUGGAUAUCUUGAACCAUGAUUCUGAUAGUAAUUUUAUAGCUAAUGUUGCACAGGAUAAUAGGUCUAACAUGUUGGAUCAGAGUAGUUGAUUAAGACUUGGGGAUAAAGGCAACCAGGGCUUAAUUAAUGUUAUCAACUAUCUUAAAAGAAUAGAAAGACUCUCUUACCAUGUCACAAAUAUUCUCUUUCCCUUGAGGCUAACAUAUUUAGAAGAAAAAAGGGUGGAUAACAUCCAACCCUGGGACAUUAAAGGACUUAAAGACUAGACGACUUUGGUAAUAUCCACAUCUAUCACCUUUUUAACCAAACACUCAGGCUCUUCAUUAGAUAAACUAGGCCAAAGGAAAAGAGUUGGUUUAAUCUUCCUAUCCACCAUCAGCGAUGAAGAUUAGAACAUAUCCUUGAAAUGAUUGCUAACUAUAGUGUUCAAAUCCUUAGAAUUAAUGACCUAGUUCCUACGAGCACUUGAGAGGCCUAAAAUCCUAUUAUAACUACGCCUCUUAAUUGUAGCUAAAUGAAAAAAAAAGGUAAUACAAUCACCUUCGAUAACCCAAUUAUCCCUGACUUAAGUAUCCAUAAAUCUUCCUCUUCAUUAAGAAUGCUCUAGUAGUAUUAAAUGAGCGUAUUUUGAAGUUUCAAAAGGAAUUCACAAUGCCUCAAUUCAAGGGCAAUUUCAAGACUCUUAAGCUUGGCCAAAAUACACUUUUUCUUCUUAAAAACAUUUCUAAAAGUGUUUUUGUUCCACUUUUUGAAGUAAUAUGUGAAAGCUUCGAUAGUGGGAACUAAGUAUUAAUCAAGCUAGGCCUAAAACCCUUGAAGGAUCUAGCGGGAUUCAAGGUGAUCCAUUCACAACUUUUCAAAAUUGAAGGGUUGAUCACAAUUCGUAUGACCCACUUUCUCAAGGGUGGCAAGAAUUGUUGGGAUCUAGUGCCCUUAAUGUAGUGAUUACGUUUAUAUACUUGUAACUUUCUGAACAAGUUGGUUUAAUAAAACUCCAUUAUCAUUCAUAUAUUUUAUAUAUUGUCCUCAAACAGUUUUUGCACACAAAGCAAAAUAAAAUCAAAUAUUAUUUCGUUGAUUAUCUAAUAUUUAACUAAUAUUGAGCGACAUUAAAUCGAAAUUCAACAAGUCGAUUGAAAGACUAAUAUGAUAUCUAUCAAGUCCAAAUGGAAAGAUACAUUGUCAUGGGUAUUAGAGCGGAUAAUUUCCAAAAGAUAGAUAUAUAAAUGUAACUAACUAGACUAGCAGUACAUCAAACAUGAUAGAUAUAUAAAUGUAACUAACUGGACUAGCAGUACAUCAAACAUGACCCAAGUAGAAUAGAUUAUGUAUUAUUCACUUGUGACGUUCAUAGUGUGAAUUACCUCAAUAUUGAGUAAGUGAUGACUAUGUAUGCGUGACUCAUAUACUUUGAUGUAUUGAAAGCUUGUGUUCAAUUGGUAAUAAAGCUAAAAGCUGGUACGUUGGGUAUACAAGUACUUCGUUACAUGAAUUUACUUACAAUAGUGGUUCGUUACAUGAAUUUACUUACAAUAGUGGAAUUCAUAGCUCAAUAAAAUGGUAAAUGAUAUCUUCUUAUUAACAUUACAUGAUAGAAAAAAAAGGAACGUGACUACAAGUCAUUUGUCUUAAGAUAAAUGAUUUAAUUACUAUUUGUUAGUAAUGAGCUUUUCAUGAAGGAAUAUGUAAUUGUUACUAUGAGAUAAAAUAGGAUUAUAUUGGGAGAACAUAUUUACACUAAAUAGAUUAAGGAUAUCCAAUGAGAGUAACACACAUAUGACAAAUGCCAUUGGAUGAACAUUUAGUACAGUAACUUUUGUGAUGGUAUAUAAUGAGGAGAGCUUAUGAUCUUUAGUGGAAUGACUCUAUGACUAAAUAAUAUUGUAAUUAAUAAACGAAGAGUCAGAACUUAAUUACGAAUUAUUUGGACCCUAAUUAUAUAUAUUCAAUUAGUCCCUUCGUUAGCUCAGUAUAAUCUUGAUGGUUUGCAUUACUUGAUGAAAUGAAAAAUGUGAAACGAUGAACUAGAGAAAUAGAUCACAUGUAUCACUAUUCGCAGUGAAUGUGUUUUCUCACUAUGAACAAGAGAUAACUUGCAAAUUAAUUUAUAUCUUUGAAUUAUUAUUUAAUUAAUCUGAAAUUAAAUAAUUGAAUUUCGUAGUGAAAAUUAAAUUACUUAAGUCAUUAUAAUUUCAUAAGAAUAAGAUUAAUUAAAUUAGUUUACUCAUAGAUUCUAGUAAGGUAAAGUCAUCAUGACUUUAAUAAAAACUUUAACAGAAUUAGAAUUGAGUUGAGAAAAUAAUUUAAUUAGUAUAAUUAAUUAUUUUAAUUAAUUAAAUGAAUAAAUAACAUUAUGGGCAUAUGCAAAUAUUUAUUAGGCUUGGAAAAUUAUACGAGUUGGUUUAAAGACCAAUUAGCGCAUAUAAUAAACUCGUUCCAGGACGAGGCUCAGUUUAAAUACAAGGGGCGACAAACUCUAGUCCCAAAAAGGGGUUGCUACUGUCUCUACAUAUACGCUAUAUAUGGGAGUUGAUUUCCUAUUAAAAUAUUAUUAUUUCAUAUAAGAGUUGAUUCUCUAUGUUGGUAUUCUGUCAAAAUAUAAAAAAUUAUUUUCAAAUAAAUUCUAUCUUUUGACAGAACUCAUCUUUCAAUUUUUAGCUUAAAGUUUUACAUAACGUUUCCAUCGAUUUGCGUAUAGAGCCCCACACUCUAGCAAAUCAAGAUUAAGAAUAGUAGAGAAGAUUGGGUGGUCAAAAGUCGAGAACGAUUUAGUCUACCUUGUAUAAAACAUGGGUAUGAUCUAGGUAAAUGGGUUUAUUGCUAUAAACAUCACAAUUGAUUGGUUUCAAAAGAAAUUUUUUAAAAUUCCACUGUGAACUAUUCCACUGUUUAAAUGAAUUUUUCCAACAAGAAUAAGAUAAUGAUUCUACCUAAUCUUGGAUAAGUGGUUUACAGUGACUUUAUUGUAGAGCCGAGUGAACUGAAUAGAGAAUCAAAAUCGAGUGAGUCUAAGAUAAAGGGCAAUGUUUUAAAGAUUUAAUAAGACCCAAUCAGUGAAGCCUUGAAUGAGCUACAAAUGAUAGAUGACAUAGACCGGUCUCCCCAAGGAACUAGUAGAUUAGUGCAAAGAUCCCACCAAUUGUAAUGAACCGAAAGUUACGGUAUCGAAAAUUGAAUCUUGAGUACUGUUUCCGUGAAAUUUAUUCAUGAAUAUUUAUUAGAAAUAUUUAUGAAUUAUAGUUGAAUUGUUAUUUAGUGUUUAAUUAAGUGAAAUAGCUUGAAUUUAGUUUAAAGGGCUAAAUUGCAUAAGGAAUAAAAGUUUAAUUAUAGAUUAAAGAAGUAAAAGGGACUAAUCUAGUAAUUAGACCUUAAGUGCCAUGUGUGUGUUAAUAUUGAAUAACGUGUGUAAUAGUUGGUAUAUAUGUGUAAUAGCUAUAAGAUAUUUUAUGUUAUAGCUAUUACACAUGUUAGUUUUAUAUUUAUUAUAGGUUAAUAAUAGUAUAAUAAGUAAAAUUGAUAAAAUAGAAAAAGAAGAUAGAAAGACUAACAGAGAGCAAACGUGAAAGAAAGAAGAAAGAAAGAAAUAAAUAAAAAAGGGAAAUUUGAGGAUUAAGGCCCUAAAGUUUGAUUGGUAAGUUGUUUUAGCUCAUUUUCUUAUGAUUUUUAUGUUUAUGGAUGCCUAAUUCAAAGUUCUACAUGUAUGAGGUUAAAAUGAAGAAAAAUAGAGAAUUUUUAGAUAUUAAUUUAGUUGAAUAAAUUGAGGUUUUAUGGGUUAAAUUGAUAGAAAUUGAAGUUUCUAUCUUUUUGGAAAAUGGCAUUGUACUUAGGAUGUUUUUUGGUCAUUUUGAAAGUAUCUAAGUUGUUAAGUGAUAUUUUGGUAUGUUUUGUAAAUGUUACCAAAACCUUAAGUAUGGUAUGUUUGAUAUGUUAGUGAAGAGGAAGUGUUGGUAAAUAUUGUAGAGAGAAGAAAUGAAGAUGUUAUAAACUUAGUUAUCAACAUUUUAUACUAAAACAGAUUUGGACAGUAGCGGUAGUCCAACUUUGAAAAUAUACCAAAAAUAGUAUAAAGUGAAUUAGAUAAUGAAUAAAAUUUGUAAUUGAAUCUUAAUGAAUCUAUUUUUAUAUGGAAGAAAUAAAAUAGGUAAAAGAGUUGUAUUUUAUGAGAUAUUUACGUUUUGGUGAAACAGGGUUAGAACAAUUUCUAGAUUCCCUGUUCUAACUUUAGAAAUUCACCAUAAAUUGUGUAUUAAGAAUUAGGACUCAAAAUUUAUUUUUAUGGAUUCCUUAUCGAGUCUAUUUUUAAUUGAAACAAAUGGCAUAGUCAUUGGAUUCCUGUACAGGAAGAAAUUUGAUUCGUAGUGCACAAGGGUCAGAGUAGCCGAACCCUGAAACAGGGGGGACUUUUUCUAAUAAACUGUACUAAUUGGCCUGACCAAAAAUUCUAGAAAAAAAUUAGUAAGUAGAUAUAUGAGUCUAGUUUCAGGAAAAAUUUACGGAAUUAGAUUUCGAGUUUCGUAACUCGAGAUAUGAUUUUUUUACAGACCGUGACGCAGAUGGAUAAUUUACUACGAAAACUGUUUAAGUGCUAAGAUAAGUUUUGUAAUGUCUCCUGCUCAACUCCGGCGACGGUCUCGAGUAGGGGGACGUUACACCAAUUUCUCACAUUAUAUGAGAACUCCCUACAUUGUUGAUACCGAUGAGACCAGCUUGGCCUUUCCCAGAGAAAAGAGCAACUACCUAUCUAGCAAUUUAUUGAGCUUUAUGGAAUCUGAACUUUGCGAACAAGUGGAUUCACAGAAUCCUUCUUACUUCUUACAAUAGAGGGAUAAAAACUCCAUCUCCAAAGCAACGUGUUGGUAGCAAUGUUAAUAGAAGUAUAACCAAUAAUAAAUAAAUGCAAGAUUUAUAUGGGCUCUCUAGUGAUUCAAGGAGCGCAAUACCUCUUUCAUAAUGUGGAAAUGAGGCAAGUUUGGGGGGAGACUUAAGAAAAUAUAUCAAUGGGAUUUAAUUGUUCUAAUUCGUCUCUUUCACUCAUUAUUUCUAUGUUGAUCUCGUUUGGAAUUGUUGAGGGGCCAAACAUGACGACUUUGUCAAAAUCGUCAAGGAUAUGGUGAGGCUUUACAACCUUUUUAUCAUGAUCAUCACCGAGACUAGGGAGAGAAGGGAUGAGGUUCCUUCUAUCAUCAAUCAACUCCCCUUCGACAAUCAGUGAUUAUUGGGCAUAAAGGUGGACUUUGGCUCGUUUGGCUCGUAUGGUGCUCAGUGGAUGCUUUUCCUAGUUUAACUUAAAGGUUGUUGCUAGUUCUCAUUUACUGAAAUCUUAUCUCCACUCCAUAAAUGUGGGGGUCGUCCCCUCCCUAAUUUGAGGUUUAGGUGAUCUCGUCAUUGUUUAGAUGCUUAGGGUUGAAGGGACCCCAAUUCAUGCGGUCCAACUUGAGGGAACCCCCCGAAUCUAAAGUCUUACUAAGCAUUUUCUGAUCCCAAUUGGAGAAUCCUUAACUCCUUUUACAACUGUUUAUGUAUGAAGUUUUUAACUUUGAUAUGAUGGAUUGAUGUUGGACAUACGUUAGAUAUAAUAUAAAUUAUGGACUUGAAAUAGUAACACAAUCUAUCUGUCAUCGCGUAUAAACAUACAUGUGAAUAGUACACAGUUCCAUAAUUAAAAAAAAAAGAGAGCAAGUCAAACUCGAACACAUGGCUUAGAAACAGCACAACGCAUGACAUUCAUUGAUUCUGCUUUCUUCAUCCUCUGCAACCAAUCUUACCUCAGUUUUCCCUUUAUUAUUAUUAUUUUUUGAUCUUCCUGAAAACCCAUACCUCCAUUAAUACACACCAUUCAUUCGUUUUCAGUUUUUAACUCUUCCAAAACAUUGAAAAACACCCUUUUUUCUGGUUUUUCCCUUUUCAAUACUUUAAUCUCUAUUUUGCAUCAAAAAUCCAUCUGUUUUUCCCCAUUAGUUCUUGUUCAUAACGCGUUUGUUUGCUUUGAAUCCUCUCUAUUAAUUUUUUUUUCCAGUUGUUCGUUUCCCUGGCCGUUCUGACUUUCAAUUAUUAGUAUUUGGUAUGCCACUUCUCUCCUCUAUUUUUAUUCAAAUUUAACAUAUGAGCAGUAAAGUUAACUUUUUUUUUUCUUGUUUCUUUAAUUUUUUAUUAGCUUUUGUUCAUGCAGUUUCUUCUUUGUUUAGCUGGACUUUUUGAUUUGUUGUUACGUUCUCACUUAUACAUAUACUGUUCUUAUUAUUUUAGUGCAAAAGAUGGAAAAAGUUUUGGCUUUUAAAGAUUUCAGUUCUAUAAAGAUUUAAUAUUUUAUGGAAUUUCAGCUAAAACCCAAUUGGAUUUAAAGCUGUGUUUAUUGUAGUUCUUUUCAGAUGUAACUCAUUUCAAUUUUUUCCCCUGGUUUGUUAUGUUAGUGGAGGACACAUCUUUAAAACCAUUGAAAAAGAUGUUAGUUUAUGGUUAUUGAGAUUGUUCCUAAAUUAAAUUUCAAAAGUUCCGUCUUUGUGAUUACUCUUUUCUCUUAAUGAAACGUGGGAUCCACUUCCACUUUAAUGGAGUGGUAGAUUAUCAGAAAAGAAUCAUGGGGUACAUAGUUACUUUGUCUUACUCUAUGUUAACCACUUUAAUUAUUGAUUCCUUUUCUUUGGUUGUUAUAAAAAAGGUUUCUUUCUUUUUAAAUGGUUGCCUACAUCUUUCAUUUGAUAAGAAUUAUCAAAAUAUAAAUCUUAUUAAUUGUUAUGUAUUUGUUAAAUUGCUGAGAAAUGCAGUUGUCUAUAUGUAUUUGUCUUGCAACUUGACUUUUUUGUUAUGAGUAUUUGCAAGAGUAAUCACUUGUUGUUAUAUGCAUGGACUUUAGUUUAACAAAGUACUUAAAUCAUUGAUUAAAGCUGUGAGUAUAACUGACUCAAUCAUAUUAUCAUCAAGUGAUGAUUCAUGUUUGCUGUUGCUUCUUUUGAGAAAGCUUUACUUAUAGGAUCGAAAUCCGAUAUUUCUGGCAGGACAGAUAUGGAUCGUGGUACUAAUAACCCUGAGCCUACAAGAACCGGAGCAUUUAGCCGGACGGGCAGCCUUGGCUCUUCAUUAAGGAAGCGUUCCUUUAGUGUAUCAAGUUCUGUGUCCUAUCGUAUUGAUGAUGACAUUGGAAGUGAGGCUGUUUCGGAGGCAGGGGAUAUUGGUGAUCGGGCUCUUCAAAGCAACAGGCACAGUGUGAGUAGUAGUUGCCGCUUAUCUCUGGAUCUUGCAAUGGAAGGCGGGUCAGUUAUUCAUCCAGAAGAUUUGCAUAAAGUCUCUGUUGCGUCACCCGUGCCAGAGGAUGUCACAUCUCCCCUUCCAGUUUAUCCAUUAAAGGGCCCUGGGGAUGAAAAACAAGUGAGCUUUACUGUGUUAUUUUUUCCCCCUGUUACGCUGUUUCGCUGUAAUAAUAAAAGUACAUUUGGUGCAUCAUGCUUCCACAUGCAGGAAAAACAAGGACUACCUAUGUCGUUGGAGUAUAUUUCGUGUCUUAUCCAUUUGGCUGUUUUCGGAAUUCUCGGGGUAAUUUACUUGAGCUUCCAUUCUUGAGUUAAUUAGUUUUGGAAUUCUGACUUCUGAUAUAUAAAACAUAAGGUAGAAUACUUUUUGUUGGUAAAAUUGACUUCUGGUGUAUAAAACAUAAGGAAGGAUACAUUUUGUUGGUAAAAAACUGACUUCUCAUAGUUUUGCAGGUUUUCACAAGAUAUUUGCUUGAAAAACUUUUCGGACCGAGUCUUUUAGGUGUGACCAGCAAUGAGACCAUUGUAUACCCCAACCUUCCUUCUAAUAUGGUAUCUUCUCUCUCUCUCUCUCUCUCUCCAACUCAAACACUGUUUGCAAUGAGUAACGGUUUAUGGGUGUAGGGUGCACAUACUAACCGGUACAACCAUGGUUGCACACAGUGGUUCGCUCUAUCACAAUGCCACAAGAUUUGGACUUUGGUUUGUCUAAUGCUAAUUGAGCUGAUAUAUUGAUGAUAUGCUAGUCUAGGAGUGACUCUUCAUUAAUGUUGUUGUGAAGCUUAUGCACUGGAUGUGCUUCUACAAGCACUUAAUCCGAACCCGUAGAUUCUAGAUAACCCGAGGAAGCUACAUUGGUAGACAACUCUUUGCAGACUUUGGUUAGGAAAGCCUAGAGAUAGAUCGGAUGCCUAGUGUUCAGUUUUUGCACUUCCAAAUAAAUUUUUAUUCACUUCGGAUUUCCUCUCUUCUUUGUUUCACCCCUAUGAAUAUAUUCAAAGUUUUUUUCCACUUGUGAACUUGGUUACAUGUUCAUACAGGUUGGCUCUUUCUUGAUGGGGUGGUGGGGUGUUGUUUUCAAAGGUGACAUAUCUCAAGUAUCUGAUAUUUUGGCAAUUGGAUUGACUACCGGAUACUUGGGUAGCGUCACAACAUUCAGUGGUUGGAAUCAGAAAAUGCUUGAUCUCAGUGUAGAUGGCCACUGGGUGCAAGCUAUACUUGGGUUUCUCAUAGGUAAUGUGCUACAUGAUGCCUGUUUAUGAUUGGAAAAAGUGUUUUCUGUUUGGAUAUUCAGAACUAAUGAACAAAAUGGUACUCUCUUGGCUCAAUCAUCCAUUAAAGUUGAAACUCUUUUUCUUGCAGGCUUGUUUCUUGUAGCUUAUUCUAUCAUUUUUGGGAUAGAGACAGCAAAGGGUUUCCGGUGGAUUCUCAAAAAGCUGAAUACAAGAUCGGAAAAGGGAGUCCCGAGCUCUAACUGUAAUUGGACACUCAACAGCUCCAGACGUCAUUUGGUAGCAAUGUUGAUAUUAUUGUUAGUUCUUGGUGUUUUAUUGGGCGUGAGUGGAUUGCUGCUCAAGGAAGAAUUUAGCAGUGGUAGCAGUGGAGCUCAGCUGUGGCUGGCUUGCUUAGUUGGACCUUUCGGAGUAUGGAUCAGGUGGUUCUUGGCUCGACUUAAUGGACGUGGGUUAGGAAAAUCUGGGAUUUUGAGAUGGCUUCCAUUCGGGACAUUGAUCACCAACGUUUCUGCUGCUUGUAUAAUGGCUGGACUCUCCACGAUUGAAAAGUCGGUAAGGGCUCACUGAAUGGUUUCUGUCCGUAGUUUUUAUCUUCUAUUUACCAAUGUCACUUGUUUACACGACGCAUGUGCACUAGCAUAGUCUUCCACAUUAGCAACUUAUGGCUCUUUCUCAUUAUCUGCAUCAUAUCCUCAUCUGCCAAAGAGUUAUAUGCAGCUAUGCUUUCAACAUUGUGAAUACCGAAACAAUUCCUAUGAGGUGCAGGUAAAUAUCAAGAACUUCGACACUGUUGCAAACGGGAUACAGCUAGGAUUUCUGGGUUGUUUGAGUACAGUUUCAACUUUCAUUGCCGAGUUCAAUGCAAUGAGAGAAAGCAAGCACCCUUGGAGAGCUUACCUUUAUGCUUCAACUACAAUGGGGAUUUCAUUUGUUUUAGGGAUUCUAAUAUUCAAUGUACCUGUUUGGACAAAAGGAUUUACUUAGAAUCCGGGGGUUGCCGCAGGGAUGGCUAUGUUUUGAACCCGGGGAUGUCAAAAGUUGACGAGAACACGUUGGUUUGUUCAUAGAAAUGAACACCUGCUGUGACAAUACCUUGCUGUCCGUUAGUAUUCUCCACCUAAUACAUUUACACGAUUUGUACCAGAGAGCAAGGUAUAUACAUCAGUUUUCUUCGUUCUUAAUAAGCCACUACAAUAAAAUGAGUUACGAAAAGCUCCAUUGCUGCCUUCAAAGCUCAAGUUCCCGGAGUCGUGUUUGUAUAUUUUCUCGUGUCACAAUUGAAGGUGUUUUAUGUUUACACUAAUGAACCAUGCUUCUUGAGAGAAUCAAAUCGACCUGGAUUUACAAGAGACCUCUCUCUAUCAACACAUCAUGUAGCAAGUGCAAGAUCAUUAAGGUAAAAAAGUUCGACAUUGAACAAAAUGAUCAUGGGUUUAUCAUACAGGUUUAGUGUUCUAUGUUUUAUUGACACUAACAACUUAAAUAUUAAUUUUAUUAAAUUUCAACAAAAAAUAUAGUUCAAAAAGAAUAAAAAUUAAUAAAUUUCAUCAACAUUGAGAAAUAAUGAAUAGAAAAAUAGCAGGUCCAUAAAUUACUGUCUUCAGAAUAGUGAGAGUACUGAAAUACUACUCUUACUGGUAUAAAAGAACAAGAAGAUGAAUGGAAGUGUAUCAAUGCUCUAUUCCAAUUGAUUAAUAAAAUACGCUCUCCCUUCUGAUCUCUCAUUUUCUUUGUUCUUUAUUCUCUAUCUAUUUAUUUUAUAACAAAUAAUAAAAUAAAAUCUGUAUUUAAAAUACAAUUUGUUGAAAUAUGAUUUGUUUGUUGAAGUGCAUUCGUUGAACUAUUAACAAUACCUUGAUUUGGCCACGGAUCAAAAUAUUUUUAAAGAGUUGUAGUUUGGUGCAGCAUGGUGACAGGCAAGUGACCAAAGAUUGGGUAGGAGACAAACUUUAUGUAAAAUUGUUUUUGUUGUUUCAAUAACAUGCUGGUGUCGGCACGGUGGCAGGCAAAUGACCAAAGAUGUUUUAUACCAUGGGAAUGGAGAUGUAUGAAUAAAGGCUUUUAUAUUCUCCACCCCCAUCAGUAUGGAGAGAGGAUUUCGGUGUAAUCUUUUUUUCAUAAGAGGAUGGCACUGUUGAAAAAUAUGUUUCACUUCACUUUUAUUUUUUAGUGUACACAACCAAGUGUACUUAGUGUAUUGAUCAAUGAAAACACAAAUAAUUUUUUAUCUAUUGAUCAAACUGGCAAGGGAUUCAUAAAUCACUAAAUAACGUUUGUAAAGGUCAGACACAAGACAAAGUCGUUGAAAUGGUAGCCUCUGAGAUUUAUUAGAACAACAGACAUUACAAAAAAUCUUCUUUUAUCAGAAAAUGACAACGAAAAUUUACUUAAAAUGAAGUUCAAAGUUCUAGAAUGAGGAUGAUCCAAUCUUCAGUGCCUAGUAAUAACAGGGACCUUUGUGAUGAUAAGAUAGUUUUUGUUGGAGAGCAAGAUUCGCUGAACUAUUAACCGGUAAAUAACUACUUUAACCUGACAGACGUUUACCUCUUCGAAGAGCACAUUUCAUGGUUAGUUGUUUACCUCUUUCGUGAGCACCUACGGUGAGGAGAUUAGUCGUUGUUACCAGCAGUGGAUCUUCUAGUUUCAACAAAAAAAGAAGUAAAAAUUGAGUCUCAUAAACAAAUGGACGCUCAAUAAGCACAAAUUUUCAGCUUUUCAUUUUAAACAAAGCAUUUGAGUUACCUUAAGAACUUCUGAGUUCAGCCUUCAUGGCCCAUCUUUCCAUCUCUUCACAUACUUCUCGUAUUUUGCUUUCUCUUUCCCAGUCCCAUGUACCUUUUAGUGUUGAUUCCGUACCUUCUUCAUUCACCUUGCUCUUUAGUCCAACUCCCUAAGAAAAAAAAAAAAGAUAAGAACUGAGAAUAAUUAGUUGCUGCUUUGAUGUAGUUGAGAAUAUUUGAUUAUUUGAUAUUAUUAAAUAGUAUCUUUAGAGAUUCCGGUGGAUAUUUUUAGAGAUUCUAAUUAAGAGAUAUUAUUUUCUUAGUUGUUAAAUGCUACAUGUAUAUAUAGUUGUACAUAUUUUUAAUAAGAGAUAUAUACUUUUGAGAGAGGUUUUUCCCUCAAUACAUUAGAGUAUUCAUCUCUAAUUUCAUCAUGGUAUCAGAUUUUUUAUCCAGUUUUUGAGAUUUUCUUUCUUUUUUUUUUCUAAUUAAAACUUUUUUUCCCACGAACCUUAGAAACACAAAUUUGGUACUUUCCACCCUAGCCUUAUUUUUUCUUCUCAGCACCCUUACCAAUGGAGUUGAAAUCCACUCAUCGGUGAAACCCCAGACUUCGGUGACUAGAAGACCUGCGCGUGGGCCCUACACGUCGUUGCAAGCUUUUCCUGCUUUGUUUUGAGUGCCACACAUGGACUCUACCUGUUGCCGCCAUGUGUUUUCUGAUGCCGUCGCUGUGCUCUCUGCUCUCUUCCAAUCAUUCUCCUCUAAGUGGUGGUGUGUUUUUGGCUAAGUUUUUUGUGUGGGAUAUAUUUGGUGUUUUUCUUUUUUUAGUAUUUUUGUUCUAAUUGUGCAAGCAGAUUUUUUUUGGGAGGGGUUUAGUGGUUUUUUUUCCAGCAUUAUGUCUACAAAUGAGAAGCUCAUGAUUCCAACCGAUAAUCCCUCAUUGCAAAUUAGCCUUGUGAAGCUUGAUAGACAUAAUUACCUUGCUUGGUUUGGUCUUGCUUGUUGUUUAUCAAGGCUCGUGGCUUACAAGGAUACCUCACCGGUAACUCAUCGAAACCUAAACUCACUGAUUCAACCUUUAGUUGUGGGAUUCAAUGAACUCUCUUGUUAUGACAUGAAUUAUCAACUCUAUGCAACCCCAUAUUUCCAAAACCUAUUUGUUGCUUGAUACUGCAAAAAAGAUUUAGAAUGCUGCUGCUCUCACCUACUCUCAUAUUGGGAAUGAUGCGUAAAUUUUUUAGAUUCAUAAUAAGGUGCAUGGUAAAAACAAGGGGAGCUAAUGAUUUCUCAAUAUUUUGCUGAAUUAAGUGGGUUAUAGAAGGAACUUGAUUAUUAUGAAGAUUUUCAAGCGAAUUAUGCCAAUGAUGCCGAAAAGUUUCAAAAGAUGGUGGAAAAGGAGCGUGUUUUUCAUUUCUUGGCUGGGUUGAAUACUGAGUAUGAUCAGAUUCGGGUUCAAGUGCUUGGCAAGACUUCGUUCCCUUCCCUUCAUAUGGCAUACUCCUAUGUACAACAGGAGGAGAGUCAUUGUGGUGUUAUGCUCUAUCGGGUGGUAAGUCUACCAAGGAUCACUUAACGUAUGACCACUGUGGUAAGCCUCGGCAUGCUAAAGAUUUGUGCUGGAAGUUGCAUGGUCAUCCCACUCGUGGUCGUGGUGGAAAACGAGGGGGUAAUUUUCGGUCUGAGUCAAAUUUGUUAGACUCUGUGAUAACAGAGAAUAAGUCCACUUUUGUUGGAAGUUUUACCUCAGACCAGAUUCAACAUCUUCGACACUUCUUGUCUCAAUUGGACUCUACCUCGAUUGGCAAGUCUAAUCAUGCAAACUCAGGUACUGUUUUAACUGCUCCAUUUACUUCUGACUCUUGGAUUAUUGAUUCCGGUGUGAAUUGACAUAUGACAGGUCAAACAAAAGCUUAUUUAACUAUACUACUUGUCCAUCUAAAGAUAGUGUGUGACUAGCCAAUGACUCCCUUACCUCCAUCUCCAGAACAGGCUUUGUUGUUUGUACUCCCAAUAUCACUUUAUCCUCUGUCCUUCAUUUCCCUAAAUUUCGGGUUAACCUUUUAUUUGUUAGUACUAUCAUUAAAUCCUUAAAAUGUAAACUUGAAUUCUUUCCCGAUCAUUGUGUCUUUUAGGACCUCUAGAUAGGGAAAACGAUUGGCAGUAAUAGAUUGUGUAAUGGCUUAUAUCUUCUAGAUCAAUUGUCCAGUAUGUCUCGAGCAUUAUUUAGUGACAAUAAAGAUGUUAACUGGGAGAUAAUUCAGUGGAAUAAGCGGUUAGGACAUCCAUCAUUUACUAUUCUUGCAAAGAUGUUUCCUAAUUUGUUUUCAAGAACUCAAUUAGACUCUUUAGUUUGUGAUGUCUAUGAGUUUGCUAAGCAUGUAAGAAGCAGUUAUCCUUUGCGUAAUAACAAAAGUACUAUUCCUUUUGAGAUUAUUCAUUCGGAUGUUUCGGGGCCUACUCACCUUACUUCUUUAUCUGAUAAUCAUUGAUUUGUUACUUUUAUUAAUUGUUGCACUCGGAUGACAUGAGUAUUUUCAUUAAAAUGCAAAAGUGAUGUUUUCUCAUGUUUUCGUUCUUUACAUAACUUGAUUACUACUCAGUUUGAUGUUAAAGUUAAAAUUUUGCCAGCUGAUAAUGGAACCAAGUAUAAAUUUAAUGAUUAUUUGAAAUCAUAUGGUAUUUUGCAUCAAACUAGUUGUCCAGGUACAAAUGCUCAAAAUGGUGUUACUGAAAGAAAAAAUUGGCAUCUUUUGGAGGUUGUUGGAUCACUUAUGUUCACUAUGAAUCUCCCAAAGCCUUAUUGAGGGGAUGCGAUUUUGGUUGCGGCUUAUCUCAUUAAUCGGAUGCCUCUUCGGGUCCUUAAUUUUAAAAGCCCCAUAGAAACCUUAUAGGGCAAGACGAAUUACCCAGUUUCACCAAAGGUCUUUGGUUGUGUUUACUUCGUUCAUCUUCGAAAUAGGAGCAAACUGGAUCCUCGCGAGUUAAAUGUGUUUUUAUUGGAUACUCUCCAACACAGAAGGGUUACAAAUGUUAUCAUUCGCCAUCUAGAAAGUAUUAUGUAAGUAUGGAUGUAACAUUUCAUGAAGAUGAAUCCUACUUUUCUUCAUCACAACUAUCUCUUCAAGGGGAGGUUGUUGAAAAUGAAGAGAUGAUACCUUGUUUUGUUACUCUUUCGAGAAAGAAUUUAGUUCCAACAGAAACUUUGGUUCAAGAGAAGACUAGUGGAUGAUUGUUGGAUAGGCCUGAUUUACAGGCAUACACUAGAAAAUGCAAGAAAGAAGAUGUCAUCAUACAAUCUACUUUAUGCCUUAACUCCUCAUUGUCAAGUGAGUCUUCUUUACCUCAAGUUGCUCCUGAUUCGAAAGUAUAAAUAACCCAACUAAAAUGUGUUAGAACUUGCACUUUACAUCCUAUCUCUAACUUUGUCUCUUAUGAUUUCUUAUCCCUAUCCUUUAGAGCUUUUGCUUUGUCUUUGUUCUCUAUGUUUGUUCCAUAGGAUUAGAGAGAGGCUAUCACCGAUCCAAGAUAAAAGAAGGCUAUGAUUGAAAAAAUGAAGGCUUUAACAAAAAAUGAGACGUAGGAACUAGUUAAUACUCCUGAGGGGUAGAAAUUAGUUGGCUGCAAAUUGGUGUUCAUUAUCAAGUAUAAGGUUGAUGGUUCAAUUGAAAAAUUCAAAGUCAGAUUAGUGGCGCAAGGAUUCACUCAUACACAUGGAGUGGAUUAUUAAGAAACACUUGUUCUAAUUGCUAAAUUAAACAGGAUUAGAAUCUUUUUAUCAUGUGUAACAAAUCUUGACUGGGACUUACAGCAGUUUGAUGUAAAGAAUGUCUUCUUACAUAGAAACCUGGAAGAAGUGUAUAUGAAAGUUCUUCCAGGAUUUGAGGAUAAAGAUACUCAAGGGAAGGUAUGUAAACAGAAAAAGGCCCUAUAUGGACUAAGGCAAUCUCCCAGAGCCUAGUUUGACAGGUUUAGUAAAGCCAUGGGGUUGUUUGGCUAUCUACAAAAUAAUAUUGAUCAUACCCUCUUUAUAAAACAUCACAAUGGUGAGAUUACUCUCAUUAUAGUUUAUGUUGAUGACAUAAUUAUGAUAGAAGAUGUCAAGGAAGAAAUGACCCGGCUUAAGAAACAAUUGGCUUAGGAAUUUAAAAUCAAAGACUUGGGAAAGUUAUAGUAUUUCCUCGAAAUAGAAGUGGCCAAAUUGAAAGAAUGAAUUUUUAUUUCCCAAAUAAAGUAUGUCUUAGAUCUUCUGAUAGAAACUGGCAUGUUAGCUUGCAAACCAGCAGAAUCAACUAUUGAGAGUAAUCACAAGUUACAAGCAGGGAUCAAUGAAAUGGUAGAUAAAGGGAGAUAUCAAAGGCUCGUCAGACGUUUAAUUUAUCUCACCCAUAUUCGACCUGAUAUAGCCUAUGAUGUUAGUUUGGUAAGUCAGUUUAUGAAUGAUCCUCGCGGAGCUUAUAUGCAGGCAGUAUUACGAAUUUUGUGCUAUUUGAAGUCUACACCGGGUAAAGGUAUUCUCUUCCCAAAAAUUGGUCAUCUCAAGAUAGAAGUAUUUACAGAUGCAGAUUGGGCUGGCUCUCUUGAUGACAAAAGGUCUACGAUGGGUUAUUGUACUUUUGUGGGAGGAAACUUAGUCACUUGGAGGAGCAAGAAACAAAGUGUUGUGGUUCGAUCAAGUGUAGAGGUUGAGUAUUGGGUCGUGGCUCAAGGAGUUUGUGAGCUUUUAUAGCUACAAAAAGUAUUGGAAGAGCUAAAGUUGUUGAACGAAAAUGGAUCAACCUUGUACUGUGACAACAAGGCGGCCAUCAGCAUAGCUCAAAAUCCAGUACAGCACGAUAGAGCCAAACACAUCAAAAUAGAUUGUCAUUUUAUUAAGGAAAAAGUAGCCAGUGGUGCCUUAAGUUUAUCUUACCUAGCAUCCGAAAAACAGUUGGCUGAUGUUUUUACUAAAUGACUCAACUUUAAGACUUAUCAUAAUCUUCUUUACAAGUUAGGCAUGCAAGACAUCUAUGCACCAACUUGAGGGGAUGUAUUGAGAAUCUUUGAUUAUUUGAUAUUGAGAAUCUUUGAUUAUUUAAUAUUAUUAAAUAGUAUUUUUAGAGAUUACAUCUGAUAUUUUUAGAGAUUCUAAUUAAGAGAUGUUAUUUCCUUAGUUGUUAAAUCCUACAUGUUUAUAUAGUUAUACAUAUUUCUAAGAAAUAUAUACUUUGAGAGAGUUUUUUCCUCAAUACAUUAGAAUAUUCAUCCCUAAUUUCAUCAUAUGUAAAUUGUGGUUGCUUCAUGUUUAUAGUGAUUGCGGAUGUUAUCACGAUGAAUAUAGGCAAUAGAGAGCUCUGGAACCACAAAAUAGCAACCUGGUGACUUUUUGGGUCACUGCUGUCAUCUUGAAACUUUCAUAUUAAGAUCUUUUGAUCAACUUCAUUUAUUUGUUGUGGAUGGUCAUUACAGAAUGGCAAAACAAGAAGAGGUGACAUACCAGCUCGGAGAAAGAUGACGCAUCUGAAAGUUCAUCAGCAUGUUCUGGCCUUCUAAGACGUACAUAAAGAGGUUGUCUCACUGUUAAAAGUGCCAUCUUAAUAUCAAGGAAGCCAAAUUUCACCAUCCUUUUCAGAACUCUGGCCUGGUAGGUCUUGCCACUACCAUAAAGACAAAUUAACUUCUAAGCAAAGGAGUUGAAAGAUUUAGAAACAGAGAAUGUAUGUUCAUUAUAAACAGGAUUAAUUUAAAACCUGCUGCGAUCCCUGAGUGGCGAUCUAUGCUCUGGGGCUGGUAUAAGUCCAGCAAGCAUUGCAGACUCGGCCAAGUUCAGUUGAGAUGGAUGCUUCCCAAAAUAAAAUUUUGAUGCUGAUUCAAUGCCAUUAAUACCAUGUCCCAAGUAUAUCUGUAAUUUACAAAGGCCUUUUCAGAUUUCAAAUUUCAACAUCUUAGAGUCACAAAAUCCCAAAACAAAUGGCUAUAAUACUACUGCUUUGCUUCUUUCAUCCAUUCUUUGGACAUUCCUUGAUAAUGUAUUUGAAGUAUUACGAUCCAUUCAAUAAAAAAGAUGGGAAAGAAUGAAGCACAUGCAUAAACAUUAGGAAGGGCAUCAAUCAUCAAAGUAAAUGAGACAUAUGAUCUGACCUUACAAACAUAAGAGCUCAAUAUUCUUUGUUUCGACAUUGUCCUUUCUAGUGCCAGUGCCAACACCAUUUCCAGGGUCUUUCUCCAGAAUGUGCGCUCAUUUUUCAGGAAGGUGUUCUUCACAAGCUGCCAUGUGAAUUGCAGAGAAUUAUCAGACAAAACAAAAAUUGAUAAAACAGACAAAUCAAUUAGAAGAUAUAUAUAAUAACGAAAACUGCAAGUAUUGGUUGAAUUCAAUCCAUUUCCAGAAUUUGCAAAAUAGAAAAUGGUCAAGGUCCAAAAUACCAGUUGAUAUGUAAGGAUUGGUUUGAGGCAACAAGAAGGCAGGAGUAAAAGCACAAAAAAAAUUAUCAUCUCAACAAUCAAAAUGUCACUCAAACCAAACAAAUACAAAGAUAUGGAUCCAUUCGACAUUAACGCUGUAAUGCCAUAUUAGCUGAUUGAUAUGCCCAAAGAAUGCAAACAUUCCAAUAAUGUUUAUGAAGGUUGGGGGCAAGAUAACAUCUAUCAAGUGUUAUGAGGAUAAGAUAGGCUUACUGUUUGUCAUCGGUGAUUAUCAACUUCAGAUCAUAUCAAAUAUGAUGAAAACAAUUAAAAUGUUUUGGAGGACUAUAAUCCUAUCAGUUUAACUAAUAGCUUAAUUUUAACCUUGUCAUUGAGCAGAAAGGAGGAAGUACCACCUGGCCAAGUUUGAACUGCCAACUUGAAGUAGGCUAAGAAGAAAAUAAAUAAAGAGUUACUUGAAAAAAUGGUCAAAACAGCUGAACUGUGUAAUAAACCAGAGCCACAAGUUGUCCCAACGGUACCAAAGAAAAAUAUACAGUUGCAUGACAAAAUUCAAACUACUAACUUUCAAUCUCAUAUACAUAGAAGUAUAACAAUAUUAGGAGAUAAACAGUUUCAUUCACAAUCCAUGUGUUGCUUACAAAGUCAAUAACAGCCAACAAAUUACUACAAGGAAAAACAAACGAUCUGGAAAGAGUUCAGAAAUCAAGAUACGCUAACGUAAAAUGAUGUAACUGAGUUCAUGCAGAACAAACCAGCACCGGAACCACAUACCGUGCCAGCCACCUACAGCAACAUGUGGCAGUGUGUACCCCUGUAACUUUCAGUGGUCCUAACACUAUAGGUUUGGCAGUAGUAGACAAAAAAUUAACACAAAGUUGAAAAAGAUUAAAAGAAAGAGGCAAAAUGGACAAUAAAUUUCCAUGCGAUCUUAAUAUUUACUUGAGUAAAUAAUUUGCACAAGGUGAAUAAAAUACAGCCAACCAUCCAUCUACCCUAUAUUUGGAUCUUUUAGAGGAGAUAUACACAAUAUUGCCAUCUCUAGUUCAGAGAAUAACAACUAAGUUUAGUUCCCAAUAACAAACACCAAACAACCCGCAUUCACUACAAUUACUACACAAGGUGCAUAAGUUGCAACCAUUCACAUUAUCUAGGGCCUGAGAUUUGCUGUGAAGAGAUAUAAGAAAGGCAUGUAUUUGAGCCAGUUGUACUACUAUGAGAAGCAUUUGCUUGUGGGAAUUGCAUGAAAUCACUUUGCUUUCUUUCCACUUCUAUCAUGGAAGCCUCGGUAAAUCUGCGGCCAUAAAAGCGCAAAAAAUUCAAGGACUCUACUCUUGGCUGACCUAGAGGAAGCCCACCUUCCAACAUCCCAACAACAGUGGCCAUACUUGGCCUCAGUGUUGGCUCCUCAUGAACACAACACAAAGCAACACGCACUAGUUUCUCCACCUCUUUAUUUGUCACUCGUCCCUCAAGUUUUGCAUCCACAAGCUCCAAGUAUCUACCUUGUUCAUGCAUCUCUAGAGCAAACAGUGGAAAAUAAAUCAAUCCCAUCACUGAUGAGGACAAGGAGUUGCCUCCACCACUGUUGGUAUCCUCAAUGCUAUGACUCUGAGAUUUCAAUGAACAGUUUUUCCUCCCACUCACCAAUUCAAGCAGUACCAUUCCAAAGCUAUAAACGUCAGUUUUUUCAGAAAUUGCAGAGUUAGUAAGCCAUUCAGGUGCAAGAUAGCCACGGGUGCCUCUCAUUGUAGUGAACAGGCUGGAUUGUUCAGGGGUUAGAAGCUUUGAGAGCCCAAAAUCUGAUAUUUUUGCUUGAAAAUGAUCAUGCAGGAGAAUAUUUUCUGGUUUGACAUCGCAAUGAAUGAUCUUAUGUUCACAGCCUCUGUGCAAAUAUGCAAGCCCACGAGCAGUUCCAAGUGCUAUAUCAAAUCUCUCCUGCCAUUCUAAUACAGGUCCACUGCCAAAGAGGGUUCUGUCCAAUGAGCCCCGGUUCAUAUACUCAUACACCAAAAAGCGUUGUCUCCCUUGUGCACAAAAUCCUCUUAAUUUGACCAAAUUGACAUGAUGAAUAUUUCCAAUUACUGCAAUUUCUGUACAGAAUUCUUUUUUCCCUUGGAUUCCAGGAUUUGAAAUCUUCUUGACUGCCACAACAGUUUUAUCAGGAAGUGUUCCUCUGUAUACAGAACCAAACCCUCCAGAUCCUAUUUGGGUCUUAAAAUUAUCAGUAGCUGCCUCAAGUUCUUCAUAAUCAAACUUUUGUGGCAAACCUGGAAUGUAGAAGGCAUCCAUAUCUUCUGAAGAACCUGAGUUUACAUGUCCUAAUUUUAUCUCUCCACCUUUGCUGUGUAGCCGCCUUUUCCACCAGAAGAAAACUAGAGCAGCUAACAGAAAAAACCCGAUGGAAGGUAGGAGCACAAUAGCUGCUAUGGGAAACUCUUUCUUUUCAUUGCUAAAACUAUUGUCGCCACCAGAAUCUGUUGAAAUAGGUCCAACAAGUACUUUUACAUAUCCCAGAAAGUCAUUUUCUACAGUACUGCUCAAUAUAAUGGAGCCCAAGUCAUUUUCAAGCACAUAGCAAGAGCCAGAAGAAUUUUCAUAGAACAUGCCCAAGCAAGCACAGUCUUCAGAGCAUAAAUCUUGACAAACUGGAAAUCUUACACCAUAUCUGACAGGCUGAGAGAAAAGAAGAGAGAAGUAAUCAAUACCAGAGCCUAGCCUCAGAUAUGAAACAGUUGAAGAAUUUGACUCGCUAACAUUAUUGGUUGAAUCACAAGCAGUAGGUAGAGAAUAUGAACUACCACUCGGCAAACAACCACCAAUAUUUUGUGAAGCUGGAUGGAAAUCAGAUGGACACGUACAAGUGGGAGCUUUUGAAGUGGAGUCACCUGUACAUAAUCCCAGUUUGCCACAGCUAGUUGGAAUUUGACAGUCAUCAAUUGGCCCGACAAAUUCCUGAACCCAUUUACCACCAGAAAAACUAUUUACAGUAAAAUGACCUAAAACAUCCAACUUGGCAAGUCGGAAGGUAGCUGGCGACAAGUUAAGCUGAAUUACAACAACUGAUCCAUUAUGACCAAAGAGAGAAAGGCCUGUUUUAUUCAUUUCCAUGUAUUCAACCACAUAAUUUGAAUUCACAUAGGCCUUGGUAUCCAUUGACAAUAUCCAAUAUGUCUGUCCAUGCCAUUGCAAUAAUGCAUCAGAAGCACUAACCAUGAAUCUAUAAUCACCAGUUGACAAGUUACUUUCUGAUACAGCAUUUGACAGUUUUGCCCCAACUGGAAGCUGUUGUCCGAUCACAAUUGUAUCAGUUGGAUGGUAAAAACUCUCCCACAGAGAACCAUUAAAUUUGUCAAGUAGAACAAGAUUACCCAUUUCAGUUAGCAGUAAUGCAUAAAUUGUCGUCCGCAACUGAGGUGUUGACCAUUUGGGAUUACCAUCUGGAUCUGCAAUGCUAAUCCCGUUGACUGUAAGAUCCAUUUUACCGGAGCUUGAGAUAGGAGAACCACGAUUAGCUGACCAGAUGAUGGUAUUGGAUUCAACAUGUAUGAUGCACAAGUAAAAGUUGGUUUGAGCUUCGGGGUUGUAGAUAGAAGCUUUGAAUGUUCCAUUACGAGAGAACAAGAAGGCACCAUCUUUGUCAAUAAAACUGAAGUGUGAAGCACUGAAAUUUGGGUAGAUAAACUCUGAGAAAGAUUUCGCAGAGACAGAAGAAUAGAACAGGAAACCGAAGAUAAAGAAUAGGAAGGAUUCCAUAGAGAUGGAAAAAAGAAUGAGGAGAUUUCGUAAUGAUGGAAGCCUUGUUGGUGAGGAUGGAAUAUGUCUGCAAUGAUUUUCUUCAAAUUUUUUUCAUUGCUGGAGCUCAGCAUGCGUUGACAAAUCUCUCUACAGUGACGAAUUCCUGAUUGUUAUUUAAUUGAUGCUAACAUCAGCAAGGGAUGUAAAGCAUGACAAAUUUGGUUCUAGUCAAACCUAAGUGUUUAACUAUUAUAAUCAGAUAGGUGUUUCCAUGCACUAGAUACACCUUUCCCAUCUAUAUUUUUUUCCUUUAUAGAAUUUUCCUUUUCACACUGUUAUAUUCUUACUCAGAUAACUUAAAUUACACCUUGCAAUACACAAGUUGAGAAAGAAAGGAAUAGGAAAAAGACAAGGAAAAUAACCAAACACCAACAAUACUACCAAUUUAAUGGUUCCUUGCCAGUCUAUCCUACUUGGCUUUAUUCCAAAAUCAUCAAUCUGGUAUGUACUAGUGCACUUCAUAAGUCGCUCAACAACUAUAUUCGAUUCACCUAGGCACAAUUUAAUAUUAAAACUCAUACUUGGGUAAACUUGAAGCAUGUAGCCCGAGUCAAAUGCGUUUUCAGCCAUUCACAUGUACCAAAAUACAAAAUUCAAGAAAUGAGGCAAAAAAAAAAAAAAAAGGAACUCAAAUAAACAGCGCCCACUAUUUUAAACAUAAACAAAUGAAUAUAUAUAUAUAAACGCACUUAGUUGAGGAAAACAAUCAAACAUGUUGUGUACAUAAAUAUAUACAUAUAUCUCGAAUUUAAAAAAUACAGCACUAACCUGCUGAGUUAUGGUGCUACCUCCCCCACGAACCGAAAGCGACAAAACAGCUCGACCAAUGCCAACUGGAUCGAUCCCAAAAUGUGUAAAGAAGCGACGAUCCUCGUAAGCAACGAUGGCUUCCCAUAGAUGUUUUGGAUAAGAUUUGGUCCGAGCUUCAGCUUCACGAGAGAAAGCAACGAGGCUUUGCCAACGAAGAGCGAAAUCGGGCAAAAGGACAUUGGACAAAAGACGAAAACACAAAAGGGUCAAUGAGAAAGCAAGGAGAGGGAGUAGUUCCUGAAUGGGAUGAUGGGUCUGAAUGGAGGGGGACUCUGGACGGACUGAGUUGACUGGUAGGCAAAGCAACGAAUUGAAGUGAGUCGGAGACUUCAGAGAGUAGAAAGUCAAGGUUUUACCGAAGAGAUUUUGUGGAUUUUUGAAGCGAAAUUUUGGGGUUUUGCAGUGGAUCAUCGAUCUGUGAGGAGGAGCAACAACCAAACUCAUUUUCUCCUUUUUCUCACCGAUUUCGUUAUUUGGGUAAUAAAACUGUUAACAUCGUUGAAGCAACGGUCUUAAAAACAUGUUUUUUUUUAAAUGGUCAUAAAAACAGUUAAACAGUAAUUGGUUUUUUUUUUAUUGCCAAUCGCCACAGCCAAGAUUUUCAUUCUUUUAAUUUUUUUAUAAUAAAAAUAAAAUAGAAAUUAUUUUAUUCAUAAUUUUCAAUCAAAAUUAAUUUUUUCAAACCAAAUGUUAGUUGCUUGUUAUAAUUUUUCCAAUAGUAUUAUUUGAUUUUUCUUUUCUUUUUUACUUCACUCUAUUUCCAUGUUUUAUUUUUAUCAUUUUAGUUUUUAUUUUUUUAUUAUUUUAGCUUGCAACCUUUAAAAUUUAGUCUAUUGAUUUUUUGAUAGAAAGGUCGACUAAACUAUAAAAUUUUAAUGGCAUUAUGUGUAGGGACGAAGCCAGAAAAAUUUUUUAGGGGGGUCAGAUGAAAUUUUAAUUUUUUUACAGUUUAUAUAUUUAUAAUUUGUAAAUGAUUAAAUCAAAUUUUUAUAAAUUUUUAUAAUUUAGAGGGGCCAAAGUGUAAUUUCACCUUUACUAAUUUAAAAUUUUUUAAAAAUUUUAAGGGCCUAAAAUAUAAAUUUACAUUUUAGGGAGGCCGGGGCCCAUGCCACCCCCUGGCUUCGCCCUUGAUUAUAUGGUAAUUUAUGUAGCAUUUCACGUAUACUUUACUAUUAAUAUAGAUAAAUUUUUUAGAAGUUUUUAUAAAUUUUUAAAUUUUUUUUAUGAAUUGUGCAGAGAGUAUCAUGCUAGUAGCCACGUCAAUGUAGUUGAAAUUUUAAUAGUUUAAUAAGCUUUUUCCUAGAAAAACAAAUAAUUUGACUAAAUUUUAAAAGUUGAAGAUCAAAAUAACAAAAAAAAAUUAUAAAUAAAAAAAUAAACAUUGGAGACUAAAUUUAUUAUUAUGCCAAAUAAAAUUCACUAUAUAUUUAUUUUCACGCUAUUAUUUUUUUAAUUUCAUUUUUAUAAUAUUUGUGAAAUGUUGAUUUAGUUAAUAUAUAUAAAAAUAAUGAAAUAAUAUUUGUCUAUUUUAAUGAAUUGUCUAUAAAUAAUUAAAAUGAAAGAGCCACUUGGCCUAAACAAGCAUUGACUACCUAAUAAUAUAACAUGUGAUUCGGAUAAUAAGCCAAAAAAAUUUGACUUUUUUAAGAAUCUUCUAAAAUUUUUAAAAAUUAUAAAAAUAUCUAAUUUCAAAAUUAAUUAUAGAAAUGACUUGAUUUCUAUAACAGAGUUAGAUAUCACCACCUUAAAAAUCCCUCCAAUCAUGCUUUACCAUUACCAAAAAAAAAAUUAGUAUCUCUUGACAAAUUGAUAACACUGAACUGAAAUAUGCAGCGAAAAAAGGUUUAAGAAUUUGAUGAAAUAAUUUUUCUUUUUAGAAAUCACCUGAUGGAGAAUAAAAGUCUGAUACAAAGCCUUAAAUUCGCCUUAGCUUGCCGACAGUUUGACAUGCAUUGGCUAGCUUGGGCGGUUCGAUCAGAAAACCCUAAAUGAAAACUCUCCAGUCCUUCCCUUUCCCUUCCCUACAUCAGUUGGUCCGUACUUUUAAAAAUAUUUGUGCCAUAUUUAUAUUUUCGCAAUAUGGCAUUUUAUAAAUUUAUUUAAUAAUUUAAUAAUUAUCUCUAUCAAAUAUUAAUUAAAUAUUUAUUUAAAACUUUAAUGCGAUUUUUGAAGGCCCAAGGACGACAUAAUCUAGCCUAUGAACCGGAAAAGCCCAGCUGAAGUCUCCAAUUGGGUUUUUUCUUUACAUCACACUUUCAAAAACAGGUAAAAGUAAUAUAGACUUCUUUGCUUUUUUUAUUAAAACACGAGUAAAUUAGUCUUUGCAUAUUAUAGAUUAAAUAAUAAAUCAAUUAUUUUGUUAAAAAUUUUAUCUAUUUUUAUUGUUAAAAUUUGGUCCCUAUAUGUUGAUAUGAGUAUCAUAUGGCGCACCAUGUAUAAUUAUUUGGUUAUUUCAUCAACUGCAUUUGUUUUUAAUUAAUUGUCUCAUUUUUUAGUAAAAGGGGCAAAAUGCAAUUUGACUCCUAGUACAAGGGCCUCGUGAUAUUGUUGCAAAAUUCAUAUUCAAAAUUUGAAAAAGAUAAUGUUAGAAAGGAUAGCAUGAAUCUCGAAAAUAUUAAUCUUCAUAAAUCAUAAAACAAACAUAAUUAUACAAAUAAAAAAAUAUUUAUGUUUUUUUAUUGGACUUGGCUGCUCAAAUUUUAUUUUUGGUAAAUUAUAAAAUUAUUAACUAUUUCUUUUUUAGUCAAUAAACUAUAAAAACUUUUAAUUUCGUCACUAAUAUUUUUUAUUAGUCCUAUUUUGAUCAUGUCGAAAAUGAUAGUGUAAUUUUUUUGAAUGAGUACAAUAACACUUAUACAUCCUCUCAAUUUGGGUGUUAAUUCUAGCUAGUCGAACAAAUUAAAACCUCCAUAACUACAAAAAAUUAUUUAGCCCCAAAAGCUAUUUGGAUUUCUCAUCUUCUUGGUUGUUUUCACCUAAAUUUUCUCAUCUCCUUACCAUAAUUCAUAACCUUCUUCUUUUUACACCUAACCUUUUUUUUUUCUUUAUGUUUUACUAAAAUCCGUUAUUUUUCCUUGGUUUUUUAUAAUUAGGGUAAAUUGCUUAGUUGGUCACUCAACUUUUAAGGUGUUUUCAUUUUGGUCACCCAAAAUGAAAUCCUUACAAUUUCGUCACUCAACUUUUAAGACGAUUUCAUUUUAGUCACCCAACUAUUAAAUCUCUAAUGGUGGUUAACUGCACACACUACAUUAUGUUCACACUUUCAUUUUGGUCACCCAACUUCUAAGUCGCUUUCAUUUUGGUCACCCACAAAAAAUCAUUCUUCUAAAAUAUUGAUUGGGGUAAAAAAAAUUAGGGAUUAAAAUUAAAAAAUAAUAGAAACUAAAAUAAAACAUUGAAAAUUGUCAAAUUGUAUUUGUAUACCACAUUAUAGAAAAUUCUAAUUUUUUAAUAUUAAAAAUUUAAAUUUCAAAACAUACAAAUCAAGUAAAUAAAUUGUUAAAAAGAAUUAUCCCUUGAUAAUAUUAAUUGAUUUGUUAUUGUAAUAUUGAAGUUAUUAAAUUUAAUUUCCUUCUAAAUUUUAAAAUUUUAUUUUAUAUUUCCAUAUUAUCCUUAAUAAAAUCAACUCGAUAACUCGUAUUUAACAAUUGCUUGCAAAAUUUAAAUUUAUUUUGAUUAUAUAAUCUCCAAUCUUCCAUACUAAGAUAAAAUCAAAGAAAAAUAUUACAAUUAAUUAAAUUAAUGGCAAGUUCUUCAUUUGGGUAAAGAAGUGAUGAAAAAGUUAUGGAUUUUGUUUGACAUGGAAUAUAAAAUUAAUUAAUUAAAUUAAUUAUAAGGAUCUUUCUUUGCUUUUAGCUUAGUAUGAAAGACUUGAGGUCAUAUAAUCUAAAGAAAUUUGGGUUUCAUAUAAAAUUAUUAAAGAUGAUUUAUUUGAGUUGAUUUUAAAUUGGAAAUAUAAAAUAAAAUUUCAAGAUUUAAAGGAUACUAAAUUAAUUAAUUUAAUUAAUUUCAAUAUUAUGAAAACAAAUCGAUUCACAUUAUCAAGAGAUAAUUUUUUUUAAUAACUUAUUUAAUUGAUUUUGAUGUUUUGAAAUUUAAAAUUUCAAUAUUGAAAAAAAAAAUUGAGCUUUCGGCAAGGGAUAAACAAGUACAACUUGACAAUUUUUAAAGCAUUAUUUUAAUUUCUACUACUUUAUCCUUAAUGUUUUUACCCCGGUCCAAAAAUAUAUUUUUUGGCCACUAAAGUAAAAGUAUGAACAUGAUAUAGUGUAUGCAAGUUAACUGUCAUUAGAAAUUUAAGGGUUCGGUGACUAAAAUAAAAGUAUCCUAAAAGUUGAUUAUUUUUUGCCGAUAUCAUUUUUGAUUGGUUAGAUUUGCUGUAUAACCAAAAGAAUGCAUUUAAAGACUAAAUUAAUAGAAUUUACAAAUGUAGAAGAUUAAAUUUGUUGAAUUAUUUAGAAUUAAGACUAAAAUGAUAAAACUUAUAAAUAUUGAAGACCAAAAGUGUAAUUGUACCAAUUUAAAAAAUCACAUCAUCAUUUUCUCUCUGUUAGUCAAGAAAUUAAGUUUCUGCAGUUAGAUCACAAUCAAAAUCACGUUCAUAGUUGGGUGAUUAAUUUCAUUUUUAUGGUUGGAGUUUAAUGCUCGAAAUAAUGGUGGAACUCUUUGAGCUCGCUUUCAAGCUCUUUAUCAUAUCUAUCUGAACCUCUGCCAAAAAACCCAAAUCAACUUACCAAAUUCAACACAAACUGCCACCUUCUUAUUCAACUGUAAUGGUUCAUUGACAAAGAGCAUAAACAAAAAGGAAGAUCAUAGAGAAAACCCACCAACCCAGAACAGCAAUCGAUUUUCGUCUUGUUUACAGCCAAGAAAAGUUUGAAGGGCAGCUUGAAAGCAACACUCAAAGAUACUGAAUGUAAAUGACCUUCCUAAGAUUUUAGGAAUGCGAGUCUGAUCCCGUCUCGGAAAAUGAUGAAUCAUCGGCUGUGGAAUUCUGGGCUUCUAAUAGCUUCAUCUGGCGUUCUGCAUGCUCCCUUUCGCAAGCACUGAUUCCCAUAAUGAUAUCGAGCAUUGUACCAGUUGUGCCAAAGAACACAAGGGGUGCUAAAGAUUUCCGCUUUAUCCCCACCGGAAUUGCUAGCAAAGCCCCUGCUACUGAAAACACCCAUGUCCCCAAUGCACUGCAGAUAUUCCACAACAGUUACACUCGUCACAAUACAUCUAAUGUAAUGGCAAACAUAUAGCCAAAGGAAAUAAAUCUGAAGAUCAAGCCACCUUGCUGAGAAGAUUGAGAUUCACUUCAUGAAGGGAAAUAGAUGAUGAAACUCGAUGUACUGGAUUGUAGUAUGUUCAUUGUUCAUCCGGACACAUAUUACAGGUUAAAUACUAUAUACAGAAAAAUCCAAAAUGGUUGGCGAGUGGAUCGGUUUAAAAAGGGCUGCAACCGGAAUUCAAUAUACAUAUCGCUAUCUUUACACAGGUGCAUGCAAUCAUACAUCAUCAGCAAUGGUUCAAUUCAAUGAGUUGCAAAUUACUCCAAAACACCAUAAGCUGUCAUAGUGAAUUCAAUAAAUAUAUUGCUUUCUUUACGCAGGUGCUUAAUUGGGCUCUUGUAAAAGUUGCAGAACCUAAAGAUCUUGUUGUUCAUGUUUCCCAUAGUUCAGCUAAAUGCAUUUCAUUACUUUCCAGAGAAUUUCAAGGGUUGUAAAAGGUUUCUUAAUAACAGUUUUUGUGCCCUAAUUUGAAAUUUCAUUGUACAUUAUGCUUUAGAAGAAAAGUUGUAAUUUAGAAUCUUAUUUAGAAGCAUAUGAAGGCCUACGUUCAGUAAAGAAGGUUGGUUCAUUAUACUUCAGGUUUGAGGGUUUGAUCUGAUCACUAGACUUAAGAGUCCAGCACAUGAUCGAUUAGAAUCGGAUUUUUGAUGCUCAGGUUUCAGGUUGAUCAUGAAUGCCAGAUUUGCAAAGGUAGAUUGACACAAAAAGUAUUGAAUAGAGAAGCAAAGAACUAUAUUGCUGUAACUCUAGUGGUGGGCACAAGCAAGCAUGGUGUUCUUGGGUAAGGAGCAGUUGAAAGACAAUCAUUUUUGGUUAUUCAAAGGCAUGAGCUCAAGUCAGACCAUGCGCAAACUCUUUAGUUUGUCAUGUUUUUGCCUGUUCAGGCACUCCUCAUAUUGUGAACCUGUCAAGGCUCUCCGUAGAAUAGAAAGACAAAACCCCCGACCGGGAAUCAGCAGUUAGCAUAUUGCACAUCCUUGCUCUUGAAUCUUGCUAAAACCAGGGUUAGAGCCAUUGAUAGAGAGGUUCACAUAAAUCCCAAUUUCUUGGCCAGUGCAACUCUAAACUAGUCAAAUUCUUUAUUGAAGACAUUUCAAACCAAACUAUAAGUAAAUAACAAGAAUCAUUUUAUACUAUAGAAGCACAAAUUGAUACCCUAAACCUAACAAGGUUGAAUAGAUUAACAAGAAUGUAAAAUUUAGAGGAACAAUCAAAGGAGAGAACUAACUUGGAAACUGAGCAUUCUUCAAGCUGCUUAACUUCUUGCCCACCCAUUUCCUUCUUUCCUAACUAUUUGAUUUUGACACACGUAAAGCCCCCCAAAAAAUGAACUUUAUAUCAGCUAAAACGAAAGCCCUAAAACCUGAGAAACCAGCAACUCCCGAUUAUGUAAAAGAAAAUUACUUAAAAACAAUAUUAACCCAUCAAAGUAUGAAUGAUUUGAAGCCAACCUGAAAUUUGAGAAAGGGCUGAUAAGAGGACUACUUUGUUUUCUCUUGUUGCCAACAAACAAAGAGAAAGACGGGUUCUUUUUUUUUUUUUUUUUCCAGGUAUUUUUGAGGUGAAAUUUUAACGGGCCUCUAAUGGGCCAAAAGUUCAUUUCUUUAUCAUCAAUGUCCAUUGCCCGAUACAGUAGGUUAUUCCAAGGAUAAGCCUGCGUGCUCGUUUAAAGGUGUUCUUUUUUUUUGGGUUUCGAUCUUUCUCUGGCCGUACCAAAUAAGAAACUUUCUGACCUAGUGAUGAUAUGAAUGUUUGAUUUUAGUCAUCAAUCAUCACCGGCGCCGUCUGAUUUGAAUACACAAACAUAUAUAUAUGAAAAUCAUGCAUCACGAGGAAAAUAAAAAAAAUGAACGGGGAACAAAGAAAAUUUAUUCACGUUUGUUUAGAUUUUUUUUUGGAUGUGGUACAAAGAAAAGGAAAGUAAAUCAUGAUCAAGCCUGGAGCAAAUGUACAUUCAGUACAAGAUAACAUAUGUAAAACAUACAUAACAUAAAGUCUGAUACAAACCGUAUAGACGGAAAAAGUCAAGACCCAAAGGCCAACAAACCAAAUCCUGUAGCAUACUCCACAUGAAACAAGCCGUCAUUGUCUAUUCAAAGAAAGCAAAGGCAGAAACCCUCACUGGUAUACGUUUGUGUUUAACCAUCAGGGUGGAGUAGCUGCCAUGAUGCGUAGAGCCUCAUUAUGCCCUAGCCUCCAUUAUAAUGGACUCGUUCUGCUAGCCUAUUCCACUAAACGUGGGCAACUCCAGAAAACCACCACCGAAGGUGGAGCCAAAAACGAGUACAACGACUUGAGAGACCCCCCAUGCAGAGGGAGCCACCAGAAAUGCCCAAAGCCAUCGUUAUUACUACAGAAACGCUAGAAAAACUUGAGGAAAACGGAAAAAGAAAGGUGGGCUUACAGAAGAGAGGAUGAGAUGUGAGGUUUGUUUUAGGCAAGGUUAGCAACGGUCAACCAAACAGGGACCACGCCGGAAGCAACCAAGGAAGGCGAAAAGGUCACGUUUGUUUAGAUUGAGUGGGGAAGAAUUUAUAUGGGAAAAUUUUACUUACACACGUGUAAAAUUACAUUCAUUUGUAUUAUUUUAUACUAUUAUUAUUUUUAAUGAUGUAAUGGUCAUAUUUUAUUCAUAUAAAUUAUUUAACAUAAAAUAAAAAAUUUUAAAAAAAAUUUAAUUACCGAAUUAAUCGAAUUAACUUGAAAUUUUUAAAAUUUUAAAUUUAAAUUAAAUUAAAUUUUUAAAUUCAAAUAAUUUAAAUAAAUCAAAUACAAACUAUAUAAUUUAAAAUUUUAAAUUAUAUUCCCCACUCCCCAAGCCCAAAUCCUUUUACAAUGCUCAUUUCCCUCAAAUCCCAAACCCACCCUAUUCCCACCCCCCCAACCCCCCCCCCCCCAAAAAAAAAGCCCGUAUGUCAUUUUCCCAAUUUCCCAAAGCUUGGCCAGCUCCACCAUCCCAAUUUCCCCAAAAGUCAAGAUUUUAUUGUCCAUUUUCUUCUCCAAUUCAAACUUGAAACUCCCAAUUCUCAAAUACCAAAUUUUUUUCUUAAAAAAAAAACCCUAAAUUAAUUUCCAAAUCAAUUCUUUUCUUCUUCUUAAAAAAACCCUUAAAUUAAAUCAUUCAUUCUUCUUCUUCUUCUUGGUUAGUUCAUUCAAACCCCUCAAAUUAAAAUCCCUAUAAUGAUGAAUUCAGGAAGAAAUUUUUAAAGAAAAAUAUAUUUUUUAAAUUGUAUGAAAAUAAACUACACCAAUGUCAUUUCUUAAAUUUAACUCGAAUAAAUAUAUUCGAUUCGAUUCAAAUUCCAUCUCACUCGACUCAAUUCAUAAAAAUUUUAAAUCGAGUUAGGACGAUGAAAUAGGAUUCAAAAACUCAAUUAACUCGAAAUUUUUUCAUUCGAUUCGAUUCGACCAAAUGCUCACUCCUAAUUUAUUUUAUAUAAAAAGAAACUUUCAUCUGUAAUAAAUAUUUUUUUAUACAAUAUAAGUUCAAACUCAUACACGCACAUAUUUUACUAACACAGUAAAUCUACAAAUUAAACAUUGGUUUCGGACAUGAAUGAACACAAUUCAAUCAAUAAGUCUGCUUUGCUCAAAAUAUUAAACUAAUCAAAAAAUUUAUAUACGUAACAAGUACAGUUAUGCCAACAUAUUUAAGGAUUCAAUUAUAAAAAUAUUAAUGAAUUAUAAAGUAAUGUAAAUGUAUCCCUAUAUAAAUUAUAUAACUUAAAUGUUAAACAAGUGCCGCACCUACACAAAUGAAUGUAAACAAACCUAAAAAAUUAUAGGGUGGUCCAAUAUACUUCACCACGCACAUAAAAAAAUAAAAUAAAAAAGUAUGAAGUAAUUAAUUAAUUGAAAAUUUAUCCUUUCAAUGGCUUUUAUAAAUUAUAAUGCUUUGACAGCUUAGCUUAUAUCUCUUCUACAAACCAGCUCAUUUGGCAAAAGAAAAAGGAGUAUAAAAUAAUAUCAAUCAACAUCUGAUUUUUGUAGGGAAUUCUCUACUCUCGUAAAUUAAUCUUGUUUAUAUGUAAAAGAUUUUAUGAAAAAUAUUUUUUAUAUUUUUCUGUAUUUAUUUUAUAGAAAAUAAUUUGGUCAACGGAAAAUGACUUACAGGUUAAGUUAAAAUAAACCCUUUUUCCUGUAAAAUGAUUUACCCUUUUGAAAAGCGUAAGUUUAUUUUUAUAUAAAAAUUAACUUAAAUCAAACUUAAUAUUAUUAUAUUAAUAAUAAAUUUUAUUUUUAAUUUUAAAAAUAUUUAAAAAUAUUAUAUUUUUAAUAUUAUUAAACAUACAUAUUUAAUUACUUAUAUCUAGUCAUAUAAUAAAUUAUUAAUAUAAUAAAUAUAAUUAUUUUGAUAUUUCAAUUUUAUUUUAAUAAUAAAUUUUAAAAAUAAUAAUUUUAAAUAAUAUUAUUCACAUAUUAUUGAAAAUAUUCAAUAUUAAUAUUUCAAAUUUAAAAAUCAAGUUCAAUUGUUGACAUUGUUAAUUUUUUUGUCAAUUUUGUUGAUGUUACAUUUUUAAAUAAAAAAUACUCACUUAGUAGUCAUGUAAUUAAAAAAUGACGUUGUAAUGAAUCUGAAUUUAACAUAAUAUUUUUAAUAUAUGAAAAAACAAUAUAAAAUAUAAAAUUAUAGAUAAAAAUAAAUUCAAUUAAACAAUAAAAAAUAAUAAAAUCUCAAAUGUAUAUUUAUUCAAUUAAAAACGGAGCCUUAUUAUAGAUUCUAAUUAUAUUUGUCAUUUUUGGCAUAAUGUUUAGACCUACCUAUAGUCUUUCUCAACUCAUAAAUAGAAGGAUAAUACAUUUCAAUGCACUUGAACCCACGUCCUUUUAUAUUAAUAAUAAUGCUCACACCAAUCAAGCUAAAACUCGAUCUAAAAGAAUUUGUUUCUCACCGACCACAAAAUCAUUCAUCAACAAACCCUCACUUUAUUUACACCCAAAUUUCUUUUUUUUGACUGAAAAAGUCAAUAAAGAAGCUUGGAUUAGGUGACUAAACCAGUUCACAGCUUCAAUAAUUACUACCUUAUAUAUUCUCUAUGUUUCAUGCAUAAAUUGUUUCUUUUUUUUUUACUGUGCUUUUUAUAAGAAAUGUGAAAAUAGUUUUUUAGGGUAGGAAGGUAUUUUGGUAAUCAAAAAUAGAAAUAGAAAUUAAUUUAAUCCUGAAUUUAUAAAUUAAUAUAUCAUAAAAUUGCGUUUUGGUCUUUUAAAGAACAAAAAAAAAUUUGUUUAAUUCCUUUAAAAAUAAUAUAUAAUAAAAAUUAUAUUUUUAUAUUUCAAAAAAUUAUAUUUUAAUUUUAAUUUUUAUAAAAAAAUUAAAUUCAAUGCUUAUUUUUUCUUUUAAAAAACGAGCUUUAAUAGGAAGAGAAUGACAAAUAAAGGAAGGAGAGGUAGUGGGUGCUAACCCUAAACCUCUCACAUCAGCUAAAUGGGAGUGCUAACCCUAAACCUCUCACAUCAGCUAAAUGGGACUUUCUUAGGAUUCAAAACAACUCUUUGCGUGCCUUUUUCAGAUGUGUUGUGUGUCAUUUAAAUCCCCAACCAAAUUGCCAAAAACAAAAUAUGGGUAUGCAAAUAAAACAAAUAAAAAGUCAAUUUAAGGUGCCUCUUUGUGUUUGUGCCUAAUAAUUAUGGUUUGGAUUUAAGCUCUUUCGCUUUUGCUUUUUGAAAAUGAGAUAUAGGGUUAGUUUAGUAAUAUUUUUAAGAAGCAUUUUUUUAUAUAAAUGUAUUUUUAAACAAGACGUUUUUAAGAAAAAAAUUGUUUUUCAAAUGUUAAAAAUUGGUCAAAUGCAGAAGCAAAAAAUUUGAGCUCUUCUCAGAAACGUUUUUUUCCCAAAAAUACUUCUUAGAAAUAUUAUUAAACCAGCCAUUAAUUAUUACUAUUUUGUUUUUUAAAAUAAUUUUGUUAUAUCAUGCCAAUUAACAUAGUACAAUUAUUAACUCUUAAUGUUAAAUAUUUGUAGAUCAACCAAUAAGAAAGCAGCUUUGGGGCUUAAGUAUAAGAAUACAUAUAUUAAUUUUUUCGCAAAGGUUUCUCGUUUUUAUUAUCUUUAGUUUCAUAUCUCUAAUUUUUUUUCAUUAUUAAGAUUUAAAUCGAUUUAAUAAUCAGAGAAUUUCUCGAAACACAAGUUUCAACACUCCUUAAUUUUUUACUUUCAUUUUGUAAAAAUCCAAGAGCAUUUGAGUCCAUCUCUAAACCUAAUGUGUCUCCAAAGGUGACCAUAACAAAUUUAUAGGGAUCAAUUUUUUAAUUUAUUACUUACUAGUUUUCUUUAAAACAAUCAUGACUUCUUUUCAUGUAAAACUUUUAAGUAUAGGCGAGUUAAAAAUAAGGUAUUGUUCGAUAAAUUGUUGAAGAAAUUAUAUCGAUUGAAAAUUAAUAUUUUAAAUGAUUUAAUAUUUUACAUAAUCCAAAAUAAAAAUAAUUUAAUAGAAUUUUUUUCUAUAAAAAGUAGGAAAACAUCUAAUAAAAAUAAUCUAAUUAUAUUUUGUAAUCAAUUUUAAAUAAAACAUCAAACAGAUUCUAUAACUUAAAUUUUCAGCACAUAAUUUUCAAUUUAACAAACGCCAUCUAAAUUUCUGAACUGUAAACCUUCCAAAAAUAUAAUCUUAAAUGUAUCGAACUAAAUUUUUUUAGUAGAAAAUAAACAGCAACUUAUGCGAUUACAAUAACUGGUUUCAUUACAAUACCAAAGCUUUAUUACGAUCCUCUAACAAAAUGUCCUUCACUGCAUCUGGAGGAACAACAAAUAAUUGUGAACUAGCAAGACGAGUGGCUAUUUUGGUCAAGCAAUCUGCAGCCUCAUUUUGAGAUCUCGGCACAUGUCAUAAUCAGAUUUCCUAUUCUUGGUGUAUCAUUUCAUGAAUCAACCGUAAUUCCACCAUUUUACUACUAGCAGCAAUACCAGUCAAAAGAGAUUCAACCAACAACGUAUUAUCACAUUCAAGUUCUAUUCAUCUAAAACCCUUAUCCCAAACUAUACGUAAUCUUUCUAAAACAAAAUUCAUUAAUAAUAAGACUUGAGCAGAAUUUAUGUAUUCAGAAAAAUUGUUGUUAAUAAUCAAUAAUGAUUUUCUUUUUUAAAAAAUCAAAAAUGGUGAAUCUUGACCUAAAAUAAAAAUGAAUAUAGUUAAAUAUUUCAAAUCAAGUGAUAAUAUAUAUAUUAUCAAAACAUGUGUAUAUAUUUCAUCAAGAAAAAUGUGUCUGUUAAUAGUUUAUAAGAAAAGAAAAUGUAUAAUGAAAAGACUAAACUAAACAUCAACUAGAGACUAAUGGAUAAAAUUGUGAGCAAUCUCGUUGACCAAUCUUGAAAUAUAAUGAAAAGUAACAAAAUCAAAACCAAGGGCUUCCUCAAAGAUUUCGCAGUAUAAAUACAAGUCCAAAUAAUAGCAUAACAAUGGCUCUCCAUAAAUCUAUGAGGUUGAAAUGUUAUUUUAAAUAGAGUUUGAGUUUAAAUAAGGAAGAAAAAAAGAAUUUGUGAAAGAUGAAAUUUGGUUAAAAAUAUGUAUGAGUAGGGUUUAUAGAAGGGUUGAGUAAGAAGUUUUUUGAAAAAAAAAAUAAGGCCGGAGUGAGGAAUGGACCGACAACUAAGGAGGCAUAUAGUGGUCCAUCACUUCAGUGGCCAACAAGAUUCUUCAAGGGUCCAUUUUGAUCCAAUCAAUCAUUAUAACUAAAGACAAUUUAGUGUCAGCCACGAAAUAAUACUAUUCAUUUCGUAUUAUUUUAGUAAAUAAUUUUUAAACUAUACUAUUUUAGGUUUUUUUUUUUUUGUUAGGGUUAGAUUAUUGUAUCUCAAUAAUAAAGAAAGAAAAGGAAAAAGAAACAUAAGAGUUAUGAAAUUUCAUUCCUUCUCCUUAUUUGGCCUAGCUAGAGACUAAUUAUUCAUACCUAAAAAUUCUACCUUAAACAAAGGGAACAUCAUCUUUUGUAUCAAAGGUAAUUAUAAACAUCCAUAACAGGCAAUCCUCAUUGAAGGCCAUCAGUUCUGGUCUGCCAUUUCAAGUUACAACUUAGAAUCCCCUUUCAAAAUGAAAAUCAUGAGGACCCAUCUUUUUGCAAUGGCUUUUUGAAGCUACAAUUUGCUUCAAAUUUAAGCUUUUCUUCCCCACUCUAUAUCUUUUGCUCUUUCUUUGAUAGGAAUAUCAGCAAAAGCACAUCAAUGAAGCAAUAACUCUUUUGUAAGUGCAUAUAGGUUGCCGAUAUUAGGUUUUUCAUUUUUCAUCAACACACCAUUUUUUUUUCCUUUUACCACUUUCUUUGUACGCAUUAAAUCACUGAAAUAAAAAAGAAAUUAGUACAUUCCCAUGUACUGGUUUUCAGUUAAUUGCUAAUUAGUCAGCAAAAAGGAAUAUAUAGAGUGGUCACUACCCACAAUUUCUCUUCCUGGAAAAAAAGCAAGUUUUCUUAGGAAAAUUAGACCAACUGCUAUUCAUAAGAGAAAACUGGAUUGGGUGGUAAACAAAAUAUGGUGGGGAAAGAAAAAAGAAAGCUUGAAAUUAUAAUUGUUGGGGUAGUUUUUUAUUUCUAUAUUCUGAUAACUAGCUUAGCAAAUUAAGGAUGCCACUGGCCAGUACCAGCUUGCUUGUAAUGGGUUCAUUUCUUAGUUCAAUUAUGACUGAUUAAACUACAAGCAAAGGAAGAUAGAGAGAAUAUGAACUUUUUUAUUCCACCUUCAAAUAAUUUUGGACAGGAUCACGUAUGGUAAAAUUUAAGUAAAAGAAUAAAUUUGUACAAACCCCAGAUAAUUUUUUAGAGUAAAUUACAUUAUUAUUCAUAAGUUUUGGUUUUGUUUAUUUAAUUAAAAAAAAUUAUAAUUUCAUCACUGAACUAUUUAAAAGUUUUUAUUUAAUUUAUUGGGCUGUUAAGUUUUUUUUUUAAAAGGGUCUACUAAUGAGCUUUAAGCGAUGAUUCAGUGAUCGGUACGGUGGAUUAGUACCCAUCAACGAGUAGAAGAAUAUACCUUAAAUUCAAGUCGAUCUGAUAGUUAAUGUUGAAGAUCGGAGAAAAAAAUUGUUUAAAUUUUGGUUCGUAGAUUCAUAACAUUCAAAAUUAUUUUAUGAGAAAAAAAUAAACUGUAGAGAAGAAGAGGAAAAAAAGCUUUCAAUUGGUACAAAUAGUGCAAAUGAAAAAGCCAUAUAACAUUGGUUUUAAUAACUCAGUAACUUAAAUGAAAACUUUUGAGUAAUUAGUGACCAAAUUAUAACUUUUUCAGUUAAAUAGUUAAAUAAAAAUUUACUCAUAAUUUAAUGAUUAACAGUAUAAUUUACCUUUUCAAGUACAACUCACAUAAACACUACACAAUUACAUGGAAACUGAAGCAGAGGAUGGAUCUCACAUCUUAAAGAUGGGUCCAACACUCUCUAUCAGUUGUUUAACAACUUUAUAAGUAUUUGUUAUUAUUGUGAAAAAGUUGGGUGAAGAAUUGAAUAAAAAUGUGUUUUUUUUUACCUUAAAAUUAUACCAACAACUAAGCUUAAAGGGAUUAAACAAAAAUUGGCAAAUGGCACAAAAGGAGACACAAAAAGCAAAGUCGGUUUGGUUAUGUCAUUUGAAAUUUCCUACAUGGUUAUCAUGAUGUGCCUGCCACAGUGCUACUUCCAUCAAGCUUUGCUUGCAGAUUCUGCAAUUCAAUUUGAGAGGGAUUCUCCCAAUUUCAAGCUCAAUAAUUCAAUACACAAUAUGUUUUCUUGAGUGAGAAAUCUUGACAUUAAAGCUACUUUGGAUAUUGGUCUAUAUAUGGUUUUGAAUAAUUGAGUACAAAAAUGAGGCAAGUUGGAUGGAAAAACAUCCUACUUUUACAUUGACAUAGCAAAAACACCUUCCAUUUUUACAUAAUUACUUCACUUUCUUUUUCUUCUUUAUUGCAAAGUAUAUAGACAAGGAAGUGGGGAAGAAGGCACCUUCUCCACAUGAGUUGUAGGGAAAAAGAAAAGGUGUUUUGGCCUUUAAUGGGUAAAUUUCGGUAUAAUUUAUUUAAAAAUUAUAUUUUAACCCUUUAAACUUUGUAACUUAAUUUUUGGUCCAAUAGAGGAAGGAAAUACUUUUAAGAUUUAAGGCUCUCCUUUUUAAUUUUUCUCAAUCAGCAUUCUUUUUAGAUGGGUGUUUAUUUUUAGUGCUGUAUGUUUAAUUUUUCUUUUUGUCAUAUGUUAUUAUAUUACUACAGUAUCUAAUUUCACAGCUAUCACUAUUUUUAUAUUAAUCACAAAUAAACACACCAUUCAUUCAAAGGAACUCAAUUCACAUCACCCAGAGAGUAUUUAAUUUUCACUACCUAAAAAAUCCAAAGACUAUAAAUUACACAGAGCGUAAAUAAAUUCACUAUCCACAUGAUAUAUAUCACACUUUAUAUUUUAAAAAAUAGUUUGAAUUGCCACAUGUCAUUAUCUUACCACGUCAACAGGCCGGAUUAAUCAAAACUUGGCACGUGCAAAUCUAUUGGAAAAAUGACUUACUUUUUUAGAAAAUUUAACAUUCUUUGGUGUUUAGAUAGAUCUGUAUAAAAUACUUUCUAUUAUUUGGUAGAUUUCCUUAAAAUAUUUUAUAAAAGUUGUUUUCAAUAAAACAAACAUACAUUUGAGAUUUAUGAUAAAGAGUUUAAAUGAAGUAAUGAAUUGAUUACAAAGUGACGUUAUGGUGAAAUUACAAUAAAUAAUGAAUUUUCGUGAUGUUAAGAAUUAAAGUGAUUAGAAUUUUUUUUUUAAAUUCAUUGGAUUGUCAAUAUCGAUUUCUUAUUAAUUCCACCUUCUCAAAAUGGUAAAACGACUAUAUAAUUUGUUCAAAAUUUAUAAAAUCAUAAGUUAAUAUGAUGAUAAAAUUACUCUUUGACCCCAAAAUUAUUAAUCGUUUAUGAUAUUCUUAAAGAAAUUUUCUAGUUUCACUCUCACCUACCAUUUUACAUGGAUACAAUAUAACAUCACAUGGUAGUUUGACCCAAAUGUUUUUUUUUUUUUUUUAGAGUUUGAAACACUUCACAUGCAUAAUGAACUUACUAUGUGAUACGACAAAAUCAACGAGAGAGAAAAACUACAUUAUUUGAACCUGUAUCAAAUAAACGUUUGAUAAGAAUUUUAGCUACCACUUCAUAUUAAUCAAUACUACAUCUCUUCAAAUUUAUGAAAAUUUUACUUUAUUUUUCUAAAUAAUUAUUUAAUUUACUAUAUUGCUAUAAUAGAACUCAAAUAUGCGGUACAUGGAUUUUGUUUUUUCAACAACAAAAUUUAUUUUUCAUAAUGCUUAUGUAUCAAUUUAUUUUUUGCAACCAUUGAGUAUUAAUUCAAUUUGUAAACGUUCUAUUAUUAAUGCAGGAGGAUGUGGGUUCGAGUGUGUUGAAACACAUUAUCCUCAUACUUAUGGGUUGAGAAAAAAUUGACUAAUUAUAAGUAUUACGUAAAAAAAACAGAUAUACAAUUAUAACGAUAUUGUUAAAAGAAAAAUCUUUAGUACAAUUUGCACAAGGGAAGAACCAAGAAAGACUGGUCAAUCCUUCGCAGGUUGACCUUAGAUUAUAACAAACAACAUUUAAGUAGGUCUAUCUAAUUUGGUAAUAAUUUGUUUUUCAAGUUUUAUUAAUUAAUCUUUAGAAAAUUAGGAUGAUAGUUUUUAUUGUGAUUGAUUAGGAUUUUUAUGCAAUAUUUAGUCUUUUAUUUAUUAAAUGAUUUUGGGAUAUUGAUUUUGUAUGAGACUUCUAACAUCAUGAUUUAGAGGUUGAUUAAUACAAAUUUUUGAAGAAAUUAGGAUUAAAUAUAUUCAUAACGUUGAAUUUCUUGGAUAUUGAUUAGAAAUUUGACAUUCUUAUUUAGGGUUGGUUUGGAUGACACUAGAGCAAUUGAAUGAAAGUAUAAUUACUAUGGUAAUUUUAUAGAAUUGUAAUUCCCUAGAUGUGUUUGGUUGGUAGAGUGUAAGUAGAUCGUAAUUUCCCAUUUCAUGUUUGGUAGUAUAAAUUGUAAUUACAUGGUUACAUAAUUUAUAUUUUUUAAAAACAUUAAUUACUAUAAAAAUAUUAAUAUGAUAAAAAUAAUUUCUAAACAAAUAACAAAAAUUAAAAUAAAAUAAUCAUAUGUAUUAUAUUGAUCUAAAAAAAGUAGAUAAUAAUAUGAUUACUAAUAAAAAUAGCAAGAAAAAUAAACAUCAUAUGCAAUUUUAUUUAAUUGUUUUAAUGCAUAUUUGUUGGGUUAUUUCAUCUUUAAUUUUUACAUAUGCUUCUUAUCAUCAUUUGUUAGUCCUUGACCGAGUUCAUCAUCACUUGAAUUUGAUUUGCAUCAUUAAGAUUAUCAAAAUUUCUUUCUUCUAUAUACUCUUUGAAGUAUAUGGAUCAUCUCAAUUCCAUUUAUGAUUGAAGUUAUAAAAUAUGCAAAAUGUUAGUACGGUCCACAUUUUUUUACGCUAUACUAAUGUGAUGUUAUUAAUAUGGGAAAUAUUUUUUUAAAAACAACAAAUGUCUUCUCAACCACAUUUCGUAACCUUGAAUGUGUAAAAUUAAAAAGUUGGCCAAUUGUCCAUGGUAUUUGUGUCUGAUACCAUUCUUUCAUACACCACAAUUUGGUGUAAGAAUACAAUUUAUAUUUACAUAAUUAGCAUCGACCUUAUAAUAUUUAGGUUUACAGUUCAAAUAGUUUGUGGCUUUAAUUAUAAAAACUUAUAUAAAAUUAAUUUGGAGAAAGACAGUGUUAGUUUAUAUACUUUUUAUAAUAUGUAAAUUAAGUCAAAACCAUAUAAAAUUUAUAAUAUUUAACCUUUAAAAAAAGUUUUAUAAAUUGUUCGAAACUUUCAUAACACUUUUUAUAAAUAAUAUAAUUUUUUAUUAUUACUUUUAAAUGUUAUUUUUAUAAAUAUGUUAUGAUAAAAAAAUACUAUAUCAUUUUUUUAUGAAUAAAUAUAUUGUUUUUAAAAUAUAUAGCAUAGACACAUAAAUAAAUUUAUGUACAGGCUUGGCCAUGAAUUUUUAUAAAUAAAUAUAUUAUAAAAUUUUUAUAACAUGUAAAUUAUUUUUAUAACAAACUUUUUGACAAUAACUUUAGAAUGUUUUUAGGAUUUAAAUACUAUAUUUUUGUUAUAACUUAUAAAAUACACAAAUUAUUUUUAUAAUAUAUUUUUUAGGAUUUAUAAUAUAAGAAUUUUUACCAUAAUCAUCCCAAACACUCGUACAGGUCAUGCUUAUAAUAUAAUUUUAUAACUUGUAUAAAAAAAAAAAUUUAAAUUUGGAUUUGGGUGUAAUUAUUUGUAUAAUUACUCCGAUUCUCACUCCCUUAAGAUUUGAAAAAUGUAAUUAGGGUGCUCUAUUUACAUCCAAUUCGGUGAGACCUACUAAUUACAAUAGUUAUCCAAACAUGCCACCUUUGUAUAAUUAAAAGCAAUUGCACCUAAAUUUGAUUACUAGGUGGCUUUCGAAACACUACCUUAAAAAAUUAUUGUUGCUAAUGUAAUUAUUGUGAAUCUUGUGUUUGGAAAUUUGAUAUAUUACAUUCUCAUUACAACAAUAAGCAUUUAAGUGAUUUUUUAUAUUUUUAGAAGAAAAUUACUCGUUCUAUGUUGACUUUGUGAACACCUUUAUAUGUUUAAGGUUUAGAUUUAUUUAUUUUAAAUAUUUAAUAGAAAUGAGAUAAUAUUUUAAAAGAAAAAUCUACCAAUGAAGUGGAAAAAGAACAAGAAGAAAAAAAAUUAUUAAUUUUUAUGACUUUUAUAAACAUAUUUAUUUUAAAAAGAAAAAAAUUAUCAAUUUUCCCACCCGCCCUCACAAAGCCUAUGGUUAGUUUGAAGAUCCACAAUUGUACUUGAUGAAACUUCAACGUAAGUACUCAAAAGACCCAAGUAAUCAAUAUUUGCCAAUAAUGCCCUUGCCUCAUUAGCCUUCUAAUAUUAUUUUAUUUAUAUAAAUUUGUAAUAGGAAAAGAAAAAAAUAAAUUGAGCCCUACACUAAAUUCACACCCAAUUAAAUUCUUAUUAUUAAUAAAAAUAAUUUAAACUACUCCAUUAAUAGUUUCCGUCUUUGACUACAUUGACCAUUAAAAAUAUUAAAAAAUUAUGAAAAAAUAUAAAAAAUAUUAAAUAUUAAAAAUAUAUAAUCACAAUAAUUAAUAAUUAAUUAAUAUUACUUUUGAUGUUAAAAAUUUAUGAUUCAAAACUCGUAUUUAUAUAUAUACAUAUAUAAAUAUAUAUCUAAAUUCUGUUUCUCUUUUGACUGUAAAUGAAAGUAUCAAAUAAUUUAGGCAUUAGACUUAGGUGAGUAGCAUGGUGGGGGAUGAAUGAAUGGCUAUUUUGAUCAGUCACGGAGACUGAGCUCACAAUAUCUUUGUCAAAAGUCCAUGUGGAGCAGUUGAAAAGCAUGGACAUAUUAUUGCAGGAAAUUAAAAAAUCAUCAAUUAAUUAUUAUAAAAUGUAAUCAUAAUAUUUAUUAUAGAAUAAAAAAGUAAUGGUUAAUUUAAAUCUAGGGUUCGGAUGCAAGAAAAAAGAAAAAGUAUAGUUUCUUUUGUACGCUUUCAAAUUUUGAUAGAACAGAGACUGUGGAUGUAGCAUGCAUGAAAAGUUGAAGAUUUUUUUAUUGAUUUUUAAUCAAGACAAUAACCCUACCAUGCCACUUCAUGUGCUAUUACAAGAUAUGGAAUCAUGUCUUAUCCCAAACAUUAUCCUACCACAUGCUUCCCUUUUCUUCUUUUAUAAACAAACCCGAAGAGUUAGUAGAUUGGAUUUAUUUGAUUUUUUUUUUUUAGUUUUAUUUUUAGGUUUUGGGUUGUCAUCUUGUUCCCAUGGUAUGGAGCACCUUAUGUUGUACAUAGCAAAUGCCUUUUAACAUACGAAUUUUAUAAUCUGAAACAGUUUACAGUGUAAAAAGGAUUAUUCCCCAAAGAGAUUUGUGGCUUGUUUGUAACCGUCAUUGUUCUUUCCGACCACCUACUAAAAGAAGACAUGAUGAUGUCUGAAACUUGCAUAUAAAGAUGUUCACUUCUUUAACUACUUUUAGUUCAUCCACUUUUAUCAUAAAAAAGAAAGUCAACCAACUAAGAUGUAAGUUGAAAUCUGAUUUUCCAUUGAUAUACAAAGAGUAUAUACAAGUUACAUUUUGUGAUCAAUGAAAAACCCUUCAACAUAAAUCUCUCAAACCUCCAAUGAGCUUUUUUUUUUGCUCACCAGGGUUACCUCUUCAAACUACAUAGAAAACAUCUACAAUUUCCAGCAAAUCUAUUGUCUUAUACGUCUAUAUCACAAAAUUUGGCAUCCAUCUGGUUCUGAACCGCUCUUACUGCGGCAACCCUAGCGGCCAUUGCAGCUCUAUUUGCAGCCAAAACGGCCUUUUUUACUUGAUCAUCGACCCGGCGAAGAUGAACAGCAUUCACAGCUGUUUUUCUAGCAGCCUGCAAACCCGGAAAUUAUCAGUGAAUUGGAAUUUAUGGCAUAUUAAGUAGGAAGGUACAUGAGUUUUAAAGAAAAAUACCUCAACUGCUCGAAGGACUGCAUCGGUUAGUUGGGGUAAAGGUGUUUUAAGGGUGCCGGAAUCCCACUCGCCGCAUCUGGUGUCACCACUCCGGAAAGUAUACAUUCCAUACCCUUGUUUACGACCUUCGUGCCAUGAUCCUUGGUAACAGUGCCCGUUCGCGAAGUGAUAAACGCCAAAUCCAUGCAUUUUGUCUCCGAAAUACUCUCCGGCAUAUUUAUCUCCGUUCCUACAACACCGAUUAUUAUGAUGAGACCUCUUUUGAUUGAAUACAAAUGAUUCACCUAAAUACAGAAAGAUCAAACUAAUCUUCGUUCUUCCCUAAUAAAUGAGACCAAAGCGAAUAACAUAAGCAAAAUCAUUAAAGAUUCAUAAAAGGAAAUUAAGUUUCUCCGUAAGCUUUUAUUGGUUGAAUCCAAAAACAGUGAAGGAUCCACAAACUAAUCAUAAGGUCAGCAUCAACCAUAUUUCUGGGUGAAGACUUAAAUGCUAAAUCAAUACUUCUUUCUUAUUGAAUAAGAAAAAUACAAAAUCAAUUUUAGAAAGUUUUUGAAGAAGGUGAAAUUCAACAGAAAUGAGCUGGAUAUACUCAAAUUACUCAGCUCAUUAUAAUUCUGAAAGUAGAAAAAGGGAAAAUUUUAUAUUAAUAAUCAAACAGUAAAUCUCAUUAAUUUCUGGGUUUUCCUGGAGAUCAACAAAAAACCAAUACAUCUAAGGAAUAAUAUAUGACCACAGUGCCAUUUUCUUAAUCAAUCAGAUAUUCCAUGGUAAAGCUUUAAAAGGAAACCAAAAUGAACUUGAAUUCAAGAAAUUAAACCCAAAGAAGGAAGAGCCGGGAAUUUAUUUUCAUACCUGAAAUGGUAGUAGCCAAGCCCAUGUUUAACCCCAGACUUGAACCCCCCAACAUAGCAACUCCCAUCAGCACAAGUUUGAAUACCAACACCAUGACUUUGCCCAUUACACCAUUCACCAGCAUAAGAAUCCCCUGUAUAAAACCUAUAAACCCCAAAUCCAUGUCUUAAACCCUCUCUAUAUUGCCCUCUAUAUCUACUCCCUCUGCUCCAACUCUCUACUCCAUACCCAUCAUAUCUCCCAUCAACCCAAUCCCCUUCAUAUCUCCCAUUCACAAAAUAGUUAUAAACCCCACUCCCAUUACACUUCCCCUUAUGAAAUUCACCUUCAUAAAAAUCUCCAUUGCUGUAAAACUCCACUCCUUCUCUUACGGUCGGAAGAAGCCUUUCUUUUUCUUUGCUGAUGUUGUUUUUAUUACAUUGGGUCUCUCCAAUGAACCAUUCGACGGGCUUCGAAUUAGGUUUGGAGAAGUAGAACCUUGAUUUGAAACAAACAAUGCCUUGGUUGAUUAAAGCUUUGUUUUUUGAAGCUAAAAAAAGGGUUAUAGCGACGAAGAUUAAGGCUAACAAGAGGUUCUCCGAUGUGGGGAUUUCUUCUCUUUUAAGAUAAAACCCAAAGAAGAAGAUAAAAGAAAAGAGAGUGAAGAAAGAGAUGGAAGCCAUGGCGAAAACCGGGGUGAACCGGACCGGUAUAAUCCUCGGUGACAUCGAACCUGUUCUCUUUGGUGGCGGUUUCGUUUUUUUCUCAUCUUUCAGUAACGACUCUCGCUGCUGGUUUUCUUCUUGGUCUUUGCUAAAGUCACUUUCGGUGAUGGAUGACAUACUGUGGAUUGACGACCGGACGGUAGGCGAUGAACGGAGCAACGACGACUGUGUUCGCGUUAGCUUCCCCUGACUCUUUUGGCUCUCCAUUUUUCCCCUACCCUUUUUUAGAUUUUUUUCUCCUUGGGCCCCACCAGAUAAAUACCGGAGCCGUCCGAUUUGAUUAUCUUCUAUCACCACUGAGCUUCCCUAUACCGUGAGAUUCUUAUCACACUAGAAACCGCCGGCGACAUCUCAGGCGGCGCACGUCAAACCGGCUUUAUGUUAAACCGGGAACGGUCCAGAUGCGAAAAUAGAGAGACAGAGAUAUAUUUGCUUUGUAAAACUUCUUUUUUGGGAGUGAAUCUGGAGAAUUGAAGCGGGGGUUUUGAUUUGUAUUUAUGGUGUUAUAGGGGAAGUGGGGUGAUUCAAUUUAAGCCGUUAGAUUGGCGAGUUGAUCUCUCUGUUAAUAGCCGUUGGAUUGGAUCUUAACGGGAAGAUAUGGUCGUCGGAUCUAGAUUCGGUUUCGGCUUCUUUUUUACUUUACUUUUAGCGUGGCAGGCAGGGCCGGCCACGUGCCGCCACCUGAUUUUAUAAUUUCGAAUUGGAAAUGUUUUCCUUAUCACCGUUGAUCUUUGAUUGAUACAAUCAUCAUGUUUUGUACGGUUGAGAUUGGGUGGAGUGUCACGUGGGAUUUUUUUCCCUUGGAAUUAUAAUCAAUUGGCCGAAAGCAUUUUAAAAUGGAAUUAUCUUCUUUUUUCUUUUUUUUUUCUUUUUUUUUCAUUUUGUGGUAAAUUUUUGAUUUUGUAAUGAUAUGGUAGAUGUGGCAUUAAAUUAUUAACAUCUUUUUGGAAGGGAAAAUCCAAAUCCUAUUUUUUAAAGAUAUCCAUCCAUUAUUAUUAAAUUCGGUAAUUGUAAUAUGGUAUCGUGUUUUACUUUUUAACUAAUUUAUGUUCAUUAUUUAAUUAAAUUAAUUAUAUUGCAACUUACAAUUUUUGUCAAUCAUUUUAUUUAUUAGAUAAUCACACACUUAUGAUAUGAACAAAUUUAAAAAAAUCAUAUAAUAGUAAGAUGAUAAAGCUAGUUAAAUAUAGCUUUUUCUGAAACGGGAAAGUUAAGUUAAUAAAAAUCAUAAUUAGAAUUUCUUUUUUUUUUAAAUUUAACAUAGACUCUAAAUUUAAUAAUUGUCCUCGCAUUAAAGUUUGAAUUUUUUUCUUGUUCAAGUUAGUCUCUUGAAAAUUUUAAAGCUCAAACCUUAAUAUAAGAAUAAGAAUAAUUAUUAAGUUUAAAGACUAACUUAUACAAAAAAAAAAGUUCAAAACCCCAAUAUAAGAAUAAUUGCUAAAUUUAAGGCUUGAUUUGGACAAAAAAAAAAUAGGCCCAAUGUAGGAAAUGUUGUACAGUUCAAACCUCAAAUAAUGAUUUAACCUUAACCUUAAGUUGUAUAAAUAUCAAACCUAGAUAUUCUUAAUACCUGUUUUGUGGUUUAUAUUUGAAGCUCAUGUCUAUCCUUUCAAAUAAUAUUAUUUUCAUAAUUUAAAUUUAUACAUUUUUUGAGUAAUAUAAUAUACAUUAGUACUGCAUCCAACACUUAUUAAUUAUUAUUUCAAUAUUUAAAUUUAAUAUAUGAUUAAACUUUAAUAAAAAAUAUUAUAAUGAAAAAUUAAUAUCAUGGUAUAGCAAUUGGACCGCACAAGUUGAUAGGAAGGAAACUUAAGAACCGAGGUGAGGUCUUGUCUUCGGAAAUUUCCCCACAUCGUAUGGUUAUUUGCUGAUUAAUUGAAUGUUAUUUUCCACAACUAUUAAUUGGACUUUUGUUAGCUAAAAGGUAGGUAUGAAAUAUAAAUUCAUGUUUGAACUACAAUUUUUUUAGGGUUUGAAUCUAUGAUAGGUUUACAUGUAAUUAAUUUAAAAAUAAUAGUAACGGUAAAAUUAGUUACUGUAGUAAAUUUAUAGCGUAAGAUAAAAAGUAAGUUAAACACACCGUAUCAUCCAUCUAAACUCAUACUAAAUCUAUUAAAUUUUUAAAAAAAUAUUUAAUAAUUUUAAACUCGUCAGCAAAGUUUAAAAAAUGAGCUAUACUGUGGGUGGAGGAGAUGCCAGCAAUAAUUCAGAGGAUUGUGGUGACUGAAGAAUGGAAUACGUGUAGAAUCACCUAACGGGCUCGUCUGUGCUGGGAAAGAGUGCUCACUAGUGUUUGCUUGGAUCGCUUCAAACUAGAGCAUUUCAUCGAGUUUCUGUUGCGAGUUGAAACAUUUUUGUCUGGUAUGCGUGGGGUUGCGAGGGGAAGAAGAUGAAUUUUUCAUAUUUUUGAUGUUUUGACUGUUUGGAUGCAGACAUUUUAUUAAAAAAAGGUGAGCUAUAUUUCUUUCUAAAAUGUAAUAAAAGAAAUAAACAUAAAGAAUGGGUAACAUUUCAAGUCUGUUUAUCAAAUAUUAAUCCAAAUUUCUAAUGUAUUUGUGGGUUGAAAAAAAGAAAGUGAAAAAGUAACGAAGAAAAAUUCAAGGUUUUACAAAGUUCGAUGAUGAAGGUACAUGAUGAGAUAAUGGUUCCCUUCACUCAUGAUCCAUGCUAAAAAAAAGUUUUAGUAAUUUUUUAGUGCCAAAUUUAUGUUUUUUUUUAAUAAAUAAUUGUUAAAUUAGAAGGUUUAUAUCUAUCAUUUAACUUUAGUAUCUAUUGAGUGUAAUGGUAAGAUGCAUUAUACUUUCAAAGAGAGAAUACCCUAAACAUUGUAUCAUUGAUGUCUUAUAAAUAAAUAAUUGUUAAUUUAUGUUUUAUAAACCUUUGAGACGACAUUAUUAAGAGGAUAACAAUAAACUCUAUGGAUAAUACCAAAAAUAGAUAAGGGUCAUGUUCUUGGUUGAGUUAAGAUUUGUGUUGAAUUAAACCAAUUUGAUUAUAUAUCUAUAAUUUAAUUAUAAAAUAUAUUUAUUUUAUUUUAAACUUUGACAAGAUAAAUUAAAAAUAAAUAAAUUUAUACAUUAUAGAUUAGAUUAAGAAUAUAUUAUAUUUGUAUAUGUAAUGUUAAUCUCAUAAGUUUAAUUUUUAUUAAUUAUAAAAAGAAUAUCUUAACAUUAUUAAUUAUUAUCAUAUUUAAAUAAAAAUAUAUUUAUCCAAUUGUAUUCAAUAAUUUAUAAAAUAUUUUCAUAAUAAUAUAACUUUAUACAUAAAAUAUAUUUUAAUUAAAUUAAUAUUUAACUAAUUCGUAACAUCAACACAAUCGGAGUUUAAUAUAAGUAUAGAUAAAUAAUUGAAAUAUAAAAAAUUUUAAAAACAAAUUUAACCAUUAUAUUUGAGUAAUUUUUUUUUUAAAAAAAAUUCAUUGAAUAACAUAGAACAUAUUUUAAUAGAAAAGUAAAAUUGUGUCAACUUUUGUAGGCUCCCGCCUUGAAAGUUAAGCAUUUAAAAUUUGAAUUGAAUAAUUAAAAAUGAUGUCACAGUUAUUAUUUAUGUAAAAUAAAUAAACAAAAAUAUAUGUAGUAUUGUUUAUCACCUAAUGAUGUACUUUUGUGAUUGGACUCUUCUAAGUAUUGAUGGUAAAUUUUUUAUUUUUUAUGUGUUUAAUAGACUUCGUUGAAUCUGUGGGUAUAAUGUAAUUAAUAAUUAUCAGCCUUAAAAUUAAAUAAUUUUAAGUUGGAAUCAUCAUAGCAUUUUAAUGUUUUUUAUUUUUUUAUUUAUAAGAUUGUUUUGACUAAUAAUUUUUGUUUGGGACAAAUACUAAGUAUGGGUGGACUCAAAAUAUGAAACUGAAUUCUAAUUUUUUAGAAUAAAAUAUUUAAAAUUUUUAAAAAAUUUAAUAUUAUUUUAAAGUGUAAGAAUUGAGUUAUAAUUUUUUGUAAAAGAAAUAAAAUAUAAUUUUUCUAUCAAUUUGACUUUGAAUUAACAGUCGGAAAAUAAGGUUGUGACUCGAAAUAUACGGAAAUAUAUUGUUAUUUUAUUUAUUUUCUUUUUCUUUCCAAAUCCAAAUGUAGUGGGCCAAAUUUGCCCGGCCCGUUACAAACAAACCAAAAAUAAUAAUAAUAACCCAAUAAUAAAAGUCCAAUAUUAAACUUAACCAAAAUCUAAUCCAAAUACAAGACCAAAAUUUAAAUCUUAUAACAGUCCAAAACUAUUACAAAUAGCCCAAAUUCAAUAGCCUAGUUACAAGCCCGUUUGCAAAACCAAUCAGCUUCAUCUCUAACCUAUAACCCUGAUGGCCCAAUAGGCCCAAUACCUAAACCAAAUUUCAGAAACCCUAGUCUUUGCUUAGUACCGCAGCCUCCAGGCGUCGUACAACCCCCAGCCUCGCGCAGUACGACCGCCAACUACCUCCAGCAGCCACGCUCGCGCCUCCGUACGCCAGCACAGUACCCGUACCUGUAAAUACAGAAAAACGACAACAACAGAUAGGAGCAAAAAUUGUAUUUUUUUAUUUCUUUUUUUUUUUCUAUCUCUUCGGUUAUAAAGCCAAGAGAUUUCCUCUUUGUAAUGGGUUACGAAAAUAGAGGCAAUAUACGCAUAAUACGCAAUACAAAAAAAGCAACUGAUUAAGAGGUGAUUUCGAGCGCCAUAUGUUCUGCCUUUUUUUCUUCUGAAAAUUGUUUUUCAUCUUCAGAUCUAGCCCGUUUUCUUUUCUUUUUACAAAAAAAGUGAGAUAAGAACGAAGACUUACCUUCGUAUGUAAGCCACCGGGGUCUAUCAUCUUCGUCGACAUCGAAGUUUGAGCAGACUUCAAGGCCGAAAUUGGCAGACCUAAGCGCCGGACUCGGAACAGGGGAGAAAAGGGGCACCAUCGGAGGCCAUCAAUCAUUGUUCGUGAUGAUGAAGCCAUGGCUGAGUGGCGCACAGCAUUAGGGUUUCCCCUUCUCCAUCGGUUCGGCUGAAUCGGUUUUGUAUAUGUGUUUUACAUAAAAUUUAGAUUAUUUUUAUACUUAUUUAUAUUAGUACGUAUAUUUGAUUUUUAUAUUAUUAAAUCCAUGUAUUUUAUACAUAUAGUUCUCUCUUUAUAUAUAUAUAAGCAUGUCCUUAAAUCUAUUAUAUAAUUUGUUAUAAAAUUAAUUUAAGCUUGUAUGUAUUUCUAUGUUUUUACAAAUAAUUAUUUUUUAAAAAUUAUUUAUGUAUAUAUAUUUUGUAAAUCUAUUUUGUGUAUUAUACCUCAUCAUGUAUUUUAUUAUCCUUUCAUAUUAUAUAUUAUUUAAGUUAUCAUGUAUUUUGUCAAUUUUCAAAUGGAUUUGUUUUAAAAUAUUUUACAUGUAGUUUGAUUCAAAUUUUUAUUCCAUGAUAUCUGUUUCGAAAUCAUAUAUCCCAAGUUCCGAUACAAAUUUGUCAACCUAUAUAUCAUGUAUCCAUUUAUUCGUUAUUAUCUUAAAAUCGUUAUAGCACAUUGGCUCCUAAUUGCUAUUUUUUUGUUACAUCUUGCAUUAGUUAUUUUAUAUCAUGCUAUGUGUUGUGUGUAUUGUUUUGAUUAUAUUGAAUUGUUAUAUUGUUAUUUUCAGCAUUGUAUUAUUAUGUCAAUUAUUUCCCAUGCAUGAUUGCAAUCGGGUUACAUUUUUUAAGUUAGCUAUACUUAAUUUUUAGUUUGUUAAUUGAUUGUAUCUCAUGUGCGUAUUAUCCCAUAUCAUCGUUUUUCACUUGGUUUAUGAAAUUUGAUUUUAUAAGGUCCAAAUCUUUAAGAUUAAUUUUGUUUUAUUUCAAGUCGCAUUAACGAGUUUUAAGCUAUUUUUAUAAUCAUUCUUUUAAAAAUCCUUUAAAACGAAGGCGAUGUUCAAUAUUUGGCAAUUCGGGGAAUCGUGCCCUAACAUGUUGGGUUGCAAUUUCUCGUUUGCUCAAAAUAAUCGAAUGUCCCUUUAGAAUUUCAUUCAUGUUUCCUAAAAACCCUUUAAAACGAAAGUAAUAUUCGAUGUUUGGUAAUUUGGGGAGUCGUGCCCUAUCGUGCUGGGUUACGGUUUCCUGUUUGUCCAAAAUAAUUGAAUAUUCCUUUAAAAUUUUACUCAUGCUCUCUAAAUUCUAAAAUAAGGCAAUGUCUGAUAUCUAGAAAUUCGAUGAGUCGUGCCCUACUGUACUGGGUUUCGAUUUUCUCGUUGGACUAAACAAUCGGGAGGUUUUCAACAUAUAAAUUUUUGGAAGUCAAAAUUUAUCACGUUUUCGAGGUUAUAAAGGAUCAUGUCCUGUCGUGCUGGAUGUGAUGCCAUAUUCCUCUUAAGCACGAGGAUUUUGAUGACCAACUCGGGUUGUUCAAAUGUUAUUAAAAGGGACCGCACUUCAAAAACAUUUUUAAAUCUCAGACAUAAGGACAGUAUCUAAUCGAUUUGGUACUAAUCUUGGGCGUAAUGAGGGUGCUAAUCCUUCCUCAUACGAAACCGAAUCCCAAACCCGCUUUCUCAAAUUUCGAAGACCAAAAUCGUUGUUUUAGUAAGCCAAAAUGUUUUAUUAAAAUGACCAAAACUUAUUAGGUGAUCCAAUCACACCUGAACAAAAGAUUGGUGGCGACUUCAUUUUCGUUUUUCAAAAAGUCGAUUCCCUAUUUUUUUCAUUAAAUUUAAAAUUUUAAAAAGACGGUUUCGACAGCUUGGCGACUCCACUGGGGACCGAAUAGGAGAGUCUAGCCAUAAAAUUGAUUGUUUGCUGUCCUUUUGUCAAAAACUGAAAAUUUGUUUUAAAAAUCAUGUAUCUUUCAAAUGCAUUUGUUUGUAUGGUUGUUAUGGUUCGGGUAUCGUAGAAUAAUAUUGCAUUGCAUUGCAUGACCGCCGUGGUCACACCUUCUAAGUGGGAGUAAGAAACUAUGCUUUCAUGAGGUUUUCACCUCCGCAUAGGCUAGUGGAUUGCUUCCGGGGUACAUCCUUACCUAUGAUUUUGUAAAAUUUUCAUCUCCGCAUGGUCAUAGGGAAAUGUAUCCCCCUGAACCGAACUCGAUCUAUAUGAGCCUAUAAUGGAUGAGAAUUGAGGAAUCUACUGGUUCGGGUACCUUAUCUCUAGAAUCGAACCACAUAUAGUGAACCUUAAGAGCUAUCUUCGGGUGGAGCCGCGUCAAGCCUUAGUAUUUACUCGUAUAUACGUUGUAAUUAUCGUUUAUGUGCUUGCACUUUAUCACUAUUAUUUGAUACUAACCUAUGUUUUGUUUUGACUGUGUUUUGCAUAACAUUGCAUACUAAAGGAGGUGUUGAUUCGUAUUCAAUUAUUAAGUUAGAAAGUUUGACAUGGAGAAUGAGUUUCUUAGUAAAGUCGAGGAUACUGCGGCCGUUCGUGCAUGGUCAGAGAAGCUACAAUAAGAGAAAGGGGAUAGCUUGGCAGAAGGAUAUAUAUCGGAGUUGCAGGAAUUCACCCGCGUCAAUGUAGCAUAGAAUAAGCUGCAAGAGUUGAGAGAUAUAUGGGCUCGUUGGGAUGAAGAGACCAAGAAGUUGUUUUAUCAAAGCUAUGGUGAUAUAUCUUACUUUCUAGACAUUAGAGUGGAUAAGCAUCUAUUCCGAGUUAUGGUUCAGUUUUGGAACUUUGCUUACAAGUGUUUCACUUUUGGAGAAGUGGAUUUAGUACCUACCAUGGAGGAAUAUACUGCUCUGCUUAGGUUUCCGAAAAUUCAGGUUAGAAAGACUUAUGCCAGGGUUUUUAAUGGUCAGACUUUCGCGAAAAAGUUGAUGAGCAUUUCAGGGAUGAGCGGGCCUUAGGUCACUACUCGGAUUCAACAAAAAGGAGAUAGUAAAUGUAUCCCUUGGGAGAAUUUGUGAGAUUUGGUUUUAACGCAUCUAGAUGAAAAAAAGAGGGUCGAUAUAUUCACCUUAAGCAUCUACGGCUUGGUAAUUUUUCCUAAGGCUUUGAGGCACGUGGACGAGGCAGUCAUUGACUAAUUCAAUCGUCUUGAGAAAGGGAUCACACCUAUACCAGCAAUAUUGGCUGAGACGUUCAGAUCCCUGAGCAUGUGUCGGGAGACGGGCGAGGGGCGGUUUAUUGGAUGUGCUCAAUUAUUGAUGGUAUGGUUUCAUGGGCACUUUUGGAAGAUGGACAAGGUUUCUUAUCAGGUCUUUUCCGAAGGUUAUUCCCCAUUAAAAGAGGAGGCCGCCAUACAAAAUAGAGAGGAUAUCUCAGAUGAGAAGUGGAUGGAAAUUCUUCAAAACCUCAAGGAGGAGGAUAUCGAGUGGAGAGCUUAUUGGAUGGUCCCUGGUGAGAUCAUAUAUCGAUGUGGGAACUUUCAUUGGGUGCUGUUGUUAGGAAUUUGGGGAGCUACUGGGUAUACACCAUUGCUUGCGUUAAGAUAAUAUAAAUCGAGGCGGUUUGUACCCACGACCUACGAACUUACUUAGUGUGAAUUCUCCUUUAAAGGUGCCCACUAUAAGAAGAAAGUUCGGGAGCUAUCGGAUGCUUGGAAGCAAACUUGUUGGAUGAAGAGGUUGGCCAUCGGUUCUAUGGUGACACCUGAGUAUGAUGGAUGGUUUAGGAAGAGAGUCAAUGAUAAUGUCCCUAGACCUAGCUCAGAAAAUACUUGACCUAUGGUGGAACAACUACAAAUCGCCCCUUCAGAGUUGGAAAUUAUAAAGCAAGACUUCAAGAAGAAGAGUUCAGAGUUUGGGAAAAAGAUCGAACAAUUAGAGGAAAAGAAUAUGCAUCUGAGAUUAGACGCUGAUGUCCAGAGGUCAGAGGCUGAGAAGUGGAGAAAAGGGAAAACUAAGGUCGAAGAAGAUCUAGACAGCUUGAAGACUGACUAUAAAAAGUUACGCCUGUCUAUGAGGAUUGCGGGGUUAGGUAAGACUUUCGAACAAUGGCGCCAUGAAAUUCGAGAAGAAAAGGCCAAGGCCGACCGAUGGGAAAAGAAAUUCUGAGAAGUUCAGGCACGAAAUGAAGAUUUAGAGAAGAGUCUGUCAGAAAGCAGAAAUGAACAAAGUGAAUUAAAGGCUAGAGUGGCAGAAUUUGAGAAGUCUCUUCAUCAGUACCGAAACCGCAACACCGCAAUGGAAUUGAGCGCAAGCUUGAGCAAGAUAGAAGAAAUGAAGGGAAAAAUAAAAGAAUUAGAAGCGUCAAUGCAAAACUGUGAGAUACGGAUUCAGUUUUUCGAGGUAAAUGAGGACCGUUGGAAAGAGCAGCUUCACCAUGCGCAAGACCAAGUCAAAAACAGGGAUUACCUUAUGGGGGAAGCCAUAACCUAGAUUCGGGAGGUAGCUGACUACUUGCAAGCUUUAGCGGUACAGGCGGACACACUGAGCGUGAAGUACGAGUUGGAGUCAGAUGGGGGCAGGAGUGGGCCUCAUUGCUUAGGAAAAUUAAGACUUUAAGCAUUAGAGCAAAGUUUUAUUUGUAACUCAACUUUAUGUAAAAGAAUUUUAUUUUCUAUUGAAGUUUUCUAAAGGGAAUUGAAUCAAAAUUGAUGCCUCCUUUGCAUUCAUGCAUUUGCAUUACAUCACAUCAUUAUGCAUUAAAGGUCAUAAACGGGUUCUAAUUAAUUAAAAAAUCAUUUCAGUAAUCUGGAAACCAACGAAAACCAACCGACUACGCACCCCUACGGUAUAAGGAAAAAGUCAAUGGAUAAAAGACUUAAAAAAUUGGAGCAAAUGCAAAAAGACAUGCAGAAACAAAUGUAGUUUCAGAUACAAGAGCAGCUAGCCAAGAUUCAGCGAGAGAUGAAGGAGCAAAUGAUGGAAUCCCAAAGAGAGAUGAUAAGUCAAUUAUCCCAAUUGCUGAUGGGAAUAACUGAUAAAGGAAAGGGCCCUAUGGACAAUGUUGAGGAAACUAAUGAAGAUCCUCAAUACCCCCUGGCUUCACUCCAACAUGUGCACCAAUGAAGCCCGAGAUUAAUCUACAAACACCAUCUGUUACGAUUAUGCCUCAGCAGAUUCAGGCUGGAGCUUCGAUACCGAUGAAUUUCCAAGCUAGCUCAGGCUCUAACCUUGUUAACAACCCGAAUUAUCCACCCGUUCCCGAUUUAGACGAAGUUGCAGAAGAAGAAAAUACGAGGGUAGAAUCGCAAAAACAAUUGGAAGAACAUUGUAAAUGGCUGGAGGAAAAAUUCAGAGCUAUAGAAGGCGUGGAUAAUCAUUAAGGGAUCGAUGCUAAAGACCUGAGUUUGGUCCCAGACUUGGUCCUACCCCCAAAAUUCAAAAUGCCUCAAUUUAAGAAAUACAAUGGAACGAGCUGCCCUGAAGCUUACAUUACUAUGUUCUGCAGGCGAAUGACGGUAUACGUUAACAACGACUAGCUAUUAAUUCAUUGCUUUCAAGAUAGUCAAGUAGGGAUGGCGUUUAAGUGGUAUAACCAAUUGAGCCGCGCUAAAAUUAACUCAUGGAAAGACCUGGCUCAGGCCUUUAUGAAACAAUAUAAUCAUGUGACGAACAUGACUCCUGACAGGAUCACUCUCCAGAAUAUGGAGAAGAAAUCAAAUGAAAGUUUCAGGCAGUACGCACAAAGAUGGAGAGAAGUGGCCAUACAAGUUCAACCGCCGUUUCUAGAAAAGGAAACCAUGAUGCUCUUUAUUAACACCUUAAAAGCCCCUUUUAUCACUCAUAUGUUAGGAAGCACCACCAAGAGCUUCUUAGACAUAGUGAUGUCGGGUGAAAUGAUUGAAAACGCUGUGAGGAGCGGUAAGAUAAAAGCAAGAGAAAGUAACAAAAAGUCAACCCGAGGAAAAGAGAUAAUAAAGUGAACAACACGAGCACAUUCAGUAAGGGUCAGUCCAAGUCACUCACCGUAAAUUAACCAAAAACGGUGACCACCAAUCAGCACAGCACUGUGAGACAAGAAUCCAAUGCGAGGGUGAACACAGAAAGGCCACAGUUCACCCCUAUACCCAUGACGUAUAGGGAGUUGUACCAGAACCUAUUGAACGCUCAUGUAGUGUCCCCUUUUUACCUGAAGACACUGCAGCCCCCGUAUCCCAAAUGGUAUGACACAAACGCCCAAUGUGAAUGCCACGCGAGAAUCACCGAGUACUCAAUUGAAAACUGCACCGCGUUCAAGAAAGUAGUCAAAAGACUUAUUAAAAUGGAGAUUGUGAGGUUUGACGGCCCAGCUGUACCCAAUGUAGCAGGAAAUUCGCUCCCCAAUCAUACCGACCAUUGAGUGAAUGAGAUAAGCGAAGGCAAGAACAAGAAGAUCAAAAGUGAGGUUGCAGAAGUCAGGACUCCAUUGAGACGGAUGUGGAAGGAGAUGGUCAAGAGAGGAUUGAUCGCGUUGGAUUCAAGGGAAGAAUUUGAAGAAGAGAGGAACUACACGAGUUUCACGAUGAGGUGGGGCAUGAAAUCCAAGAGUGUGUGGAGUUCAAGGCCUUAGUACAGAACAUGAUGAACAAUAAAGAAAUGGAGUUUUAUGAAGAGACUGGAAACCCCGGAGAGGGAGAUAUAUGUGCACCAGAGGGAGAAUCAACGACGUAGAAUCAAACAGCUAACUAUCCCGUGGUAAUCAUAUCACGACCCAAAAAUAAUGAAGUUGGAAUGCAAAUGCCACCGAGGGUCAUAAUCUAGAGACCUGCAGUCUUCCCCUAUAAAGACAGCAGAAGGGUCCCAUGAAAUUAUGAUUGUAACGUGAUGAUUCCGGAAAAGGAAAGCCUGGUUGACGCUUCAAAAGAGGACCAAGAUAGGGGCUCCUAUACACGUAGCAGGAGACGUUACGAUAUAGCAAGCGAGAAGGCACAACCCCUAAAAGGAAAAGCCCCAGUAGUCGAAGAUAUAAAGGAAAAAGCGACCAAAUCUGAAUUCUUGUUAAUGAGCCAGUCAACGGGGAGGAGGCUAAAGAGUUUUUGAAAUUCUUAAAACAAAGUGAGUACAGUGUGAUGGAACAGCUACGUAAACAACCAGCUCGUAUCUUUGUGCUGGCCUUACUCCUGAGUUCGGAAGUCCACCGCAGCGCGCUGAUAAAAGUCCUGAAUGAAACAUAUAUUGCCAAUGAUAUCUCUGUCAACAAGCUGGACUGCUUGGUCUGCAACAUAAGUGCUGAUAAUUAUAUCUUCUUCAAUGACGAGGAGAUACCACUUGGUGGCAUGGGGUCGACUAAAGCUUUGUAUAUUACCACGCGCUGUAAGGGGUAUACGCUGCCAGGCGUACUGAUUAACAAUGGGUCGGCCUUGAACAUCCUGCCAUUGACUACGCUAAACAGAUUACCUAUAAACAGCUCUCACAUGAAGGAGUGCCAGAACAUAGUGAAAGCAUUCGAUGGGAUGGAGAGAAGGGUGAUGGGCAGAAUCGAGGUACCUCUUCAGAUCGGGCCAGACACAUAUGAGGUGGAUUUCCUAGUGAUGGAUAUCAAGCCCUCAUACAAUUGCUUAUUGGGGAGCCCCUGGAUACAUUCAGCUGGGGCAGUGCCUUUAUCGUUGCAUCAAAAGUUGAAGCUGGUAUCAGAAGGGCGGUUGAUAACGAUCAAUGCUGAAGAGGAUAUCAUUGCAACUGUAAGCAGUAAUGCGCCCUAUUUGGAGACAGAUGACGAAGCAAUCGAAUGCUCAUUUCGGUCUUUAGAGUUUGUUAAUACGACGUUCAUCACCGAGGGAAGCAAGAUUCUGAUGCUAAAAUUGUCCAAAACUACGAGGAUGAGUCUACAGUUGAUGGUUGGAAAAAGGGCUUACCCGGAAUAGGACUUGGGAGACAUCUCUAAUGAAGGAUUGAAACGCCGGUAUUGAAGGACAAGGGAGACCGUUUCAGCUUAGGAUUUAAGCCAGAUGUGAGACAAAUGAGAAAGGAGCUGGAAAAGAAGCAAGAAAGAAGGAGAGCACGGUCAAGGGGGGAGGAAAUCAAAUGGGAGCCAAUGGUAUUCCCUCAUAUAUCGAAAACUUUUGUGUCCGGAGGAAUAAUUCAUCCCGAGAGAGGCACGCCAAUGAAAGGAGUCAUAGAAGAAAGGUUGGAAAGGUUGGACAUCAACGCCACAUACGAAGAAGGGACUGGAAGAGAAAAUUUGUCGGGAAUUUGCCCCUACAUACGUGGAAGUGUUCUGGAUAACUGGACUAUGGAAGAGAUCCUGUAGUUUUUAGAACUGAUUCAGAUUAAUGUCCAAAACACACUUAUUACUCUAGGCCUAGGAGUAAUAAGAAUCUUUUGUGAAAUAGACUGAUGUUUAAAAACGUUAUUUCAAUAAAAUGCACGGUUAUUAUCAUUUUGAGCAGAUGUUCUUUCAUUCUCUCAAUUUCAUUCAUAAUCAUACAAACUAUUACUUUCAGAUUCUUUUGUUUUUCGAACAUUCUUCUAAAUAUUCUUUCAUUCUUCGUUCAUAAUCAUACCAUACAGAUAAGUGUUCUUGAAUUCUUUUGAUUCUUUGUAUAUUCCUUCAUCCUCAUAAUAGGUUCCCAGAUAUCAAUGAUACGAGUGACACUGCUAGUGGCUCAGAAUCUCCUUUUGAGUGAGAUGUGUGUAUGGAGGAUUCUUAGGAUUUCGAAGAUGACCAAGGCUGUAACUUAUCUCCUGAUUUGUUGAGGAUGGUAGAACAAGACGAGAAACAAAUCCUACCUCAAAAAGAACCAGUGGAAAUUGUGAGCUUAGGAGAGGGACAAGAUGUGAAGAUCAGGACUUGUAUCACCAUGGAGAUGAAGUGAAACCUUAUUGAAUUACUUCAGGAAUUCAAAUAUGUCUUCGCAUGGAUAUGCUUUGUUGAGGAUGGUAGAACAAGACGAGAAACAAAUCCUACCUCACAAAGAACUAGUGGAAAUUGUGAGCUUAGGAGAGGGACAAAAGGUGAAGAUCGAGACUUGUAUCACCAUGGAGAUGAAGCGAAACCUUAUUGAAUUACUUCAGGAAUUCAAAGAUGUCUUCGCAUGGAUAUGCCCGGGUUGAACACUGAUAUUGUGGUGCACUGACUCCCCAUAAAGGAAGAAUGUAAGCCAGUUCAGCAAAAACUCCGAAGAAUGAGGCCCAACGUCUUGCUAAAAAUAAAAGAAGAGAUUCGAAAGCAGUUUGACGCUGGAUUUCUAAAGGCGGUAAAAUACUCAGAUUGGGUAGCCAACAUCAUCCCCGUCCCUAAGAAAAAUAAAAACGUGCGAAUGUGUAUGGACUACAGAGAUUUGAACAAAGCCAGCCCGAAGGAUAAUUUCUAACUGCCUCAUAUUGACACCUUAGUGGACAACACGGUAGGCCACUGACUGUUCUCAUUUAUGGAUGGUUUCUCCAGAUAUAACCAAAUCAAAAUGCAUCCUGAAGACAUGAAGAAGACCACAUUUGUAACCAUGUGGGGCAUGUUCUGCGACAAAGUGAUGACGUUUGGGUUGAAGAAUACGGGGGCAACAUAUCAAAGGGCCAUGGUAACCCUGUUUCACGAUAUGAUGCACAAAGAAAUUAAAGUUUAUGUCGAUGAUAUGAUUGCAAAGUCCCGAACUGAGAAAGAGCACGUACAAGUCCUUAGGAAGUUGUUCUUAAGGUUGAGGAAGUUCCAAUUAAAACUCAAUCCAGCCAAAUGUACUUUCGGAGCCAAGUCUGGAAAGCUUCUCAGAUUCGUGGUUAGUGAAAAAGGGAUUGAGAUUGAUCUUGACAAAGUCAAAGCCAUACAAGAACUAUCUCUGCCGCGUAUACAGAAAGAGGUUCGAGGUUUUCUAGAAAGAUUAAAUUACAUUGCUCGGUUCAUUUCACAAUUAACUGAGAAAUGUUACCUUGUCUUCCGCCUCCUAAAGAACACGACCCAGGUGAAUGGGAUGAAGAAUGCCAAAGGGCUUUCGACAAGGCCAAACGGUACUUAUCCAACGCUCCAGUGUUGAUGCCACCUAGCCGCGAUAAGCCAUUGAUAUUGUAUCUGGCGGUAUUUGAGAAUUCUAUGGGAUGCGUACUGGGUCGGCAUGACGAGUCAAGAAGGAAAGAAAGAGCUAUUUACUACCUUAGUAAAAAGUUCACUGACUGUGAGACAAGGUAGCUGCCGAUAGAGAAGCUGUGUUGUGCCCUAAUUUGGACAACUCGAAGGCUGAGGCAGUAUAUGUUGUACCAUACUACUUGGCUUAUCUCAAAACUAGACCCUUUAAAGUACAUGAUGGAGUCGACAGCUUUGAAUGGAAGGAUGGCCCGAUGGCAAAUUCUGCUCUCCGAAUUCGACAUAGUCUAUGUAAACAAGAAAGCAGUAAAAGGGAGUACAAUAGCAGAUUUUCUGGCUAGUAGAGCUUUAGAAGAUUACGAGCCUUUGAACUUCGAUUUCCCGAAUGAAGACCUGAUGUGUGUUGUAACCACUGAAGAAGGUGCUCCGGAAGAACUUCCUUGGAAACUAAACUUCGAUUGCGCAUCAAAUGCCGUGGGUAAUGGAAUCGGGGCAGUCUUAGUAUCCCCAAAUGGAGAUCAUUAUCCAUUCACCAGUAAAUUGGAUUUUUAUUGUACAAAUAGCAUGGCGGAAUACGAAGCCUGCAUAAUGGGUAUCCGUGCAGCCAUAGAAUGCAAGAUUAAAGUGUUCGAGGUGUAUGAAUAUUCUACACUAGUGAUUUAUCAAUUCAAGGGAGAAUAGGAGACCAGGGAUCCCAAGUUGGUCGAUUAUCGAAAAUUGGUCCUUCAAUUGGUUAAAGAGUUCGAUGGCAUUACCUUCUGCUACCUUCGGCGGGAUGAAAAUCAGAUGGCCGAUACUUUGGCCACCUUAGCCUCCAUGAUCAAGGUGAAUAAACAAGAAGAUGUCAAACCCAUCCGGAUAAGCAUUUAUGAAAUUCUGGCCCACUGUUACAAUAUUGAGGAAGAUGAAGAGAAAGAUGAUCACCCUUGGUAUCAUGAUAUAUUGCAAUACGUGAAGAAUCGUGAGUACCCGGACGAGGCAAGCGAGAAUGACAAAAGGACGUUAAGAAGAUUGGCCAUUGACUAUGUUUUAGAUGGGGAAUCCUAUACAAAAGAAAAAAGGAUCAAGUGUUAUUAAAAUGAGUAGACGCUGUAGAAGCUAAGAAAAUUUUAGAAGAAGUCCAUGAAGGCGUCUGUGGGACACACGCUAAUGGCUUAACAAUGGCCAGGCAAAUUAUGUGAUUCGGGUAUUAUUGGUCCACUAUGGAAGGAGAUUGUGUCAAUUACGCCAAGAGAUGUAAUAAAUGCCAAAUCUAUGAAGACAAAAUUCAUGUGCUUCCUUCGCCGCUGCAUGUCAUAACUUCCUCAUGGCCUUUCCCUAUGUGGGGCAUGGAUGUGAUUGGACCAAUAUCACCGAAAGCUUCCAAUGGGCAUCGAUUCAUCUUUGUGGUUAUCGACUACUUCACCAAAUGGGUAGAAGCCAUUUCAUAUGCCAACGUUACAAAGUCGGCAGUGAGUAAAUUCCUGAAAAAAGAGAUCAUGUGUGGAUAUAGAAUACCGGAGAGGAUCAUAUCUGACAAUGCGUUAAAUCUGAACAACAGUACGAUAGCGGAAGACUGCAGUCAAUUCAGGAUCAGACAUCACAAUUCGUCACCAAAUCGACCAAAAAUGAAUAGGGCAGUGGAAGCGGCCAAUAAGAACAUCAAGAAGAUUGUGGGGAAAAUGACUAAGACCUACAAAGAUUGGCAUGAGAAGUUACCAUUUGCCCUCUUUGCUUAUCGAACAUCAGUAGAACCUCAACUAGGGCAACGCCUUUCUCUUUGGUCUACGGAAUGGAAGCGGUUUUUCCAAUCGAAGUCGAGAUCCCGUCCCUUCGAGUGUUGUUAGAACUAAAGUUGGAUGAAGCAGAGUGGAUUCAGUCUUGAUAUGAUCAAUUGAACUUGAUUGAGGAAAAGAGGCCAAUAGUUAUCCGUCAUGGCCAGAUGUACCAACAACGAAUGAUGCGGGCUUAUGAAAAAAAGGUCCACCAGAGGGAAUUCCAUGAGGGAGACCUGGUUUUGAAAAAGAUCCUCCCCAUACAGAAGGAUUUUAGAGGAAAAUGGAUGCCUAAUUGGGAGGGACCCUACGUGGUGAAGAAAUCUUUCUCCGGAGGAGCAUUGAUUCUAGCCGAGAUGGAUGGUAAAAACUUGUCCAAUCCUGUAAAUUUAGAUUCUGUCAAGAAGUAUUUUACCUAAAGAGGGAGAGGCUAAGGUGAAAACCCGCAAAGGGCACCCUGAAACCCUAAAAAUAAAAAGAAAGAGGAUAAGGCAAAAACCCGCAAAGGACGCUUUGAGACCAAAGGGGUUUUUGAGUUGAAAACUCGAAAACGGGCAGCUCAAAUUUUGAACAUGGGGCAUGUGGUAGUCUUGUACUCUCAAAAUUAACAAGAGGGAAGAACAGUACACCUUGAAGCAUCAACAAAAUACGUGGGAUCUCCUGAACACACAUUUAGUUCGAAGGAGCCUUUGAGAAAUUAAAAUAGUGAAACUCGUGCUGCGAUAUCUGGAGUACCUUUUUUCCUCAUUUUAUUUUGUGCCUUAGCAGACUUGCUAUCCUGUUUAAUGUAUUCACUUCGAGUUUUGCUCAAUAAAAUUCCAUCUUGUCCAUUAUGAUAGUCUCUUUCAAGCAUUUUGUUGAAAUCACGAUUUUUGAACUUUUAAUAUUCAUACAAAAGAAGUUAUGCAUAUUACCCUGGAAGGUUUCUAAAUAGUACAAGGACCUGAAACAGGGCCACUAGUCAGAACUAACUAGACUAAAAAAUGGGAAACAUUGGAAAAAGAAUAGUCCAAAUUGUGACUAUUUCUUCAAAUUCUCUGUCAAAGAUAACGGCUAAGCAAGAAGACGCUAUAGCGCAUCAAUGAUAGAACCCAGAUGUAAUAUGAGCAUUGAUACCUCAAGCAUUUAAAAAGGAAUUACUCUCAUGACAUUUCUACAUUCAUAAUCAUUCAUUUAGUUAGGAGCACUUGAUUCAUUUCGAUCAUAGCAUUCUAAUUAUCUGACAGAAGCACCAUAUCUAGUUAGGAACAUUUGAUUCAUUUCGAUCAUAGCAUCCUAAUUAUUUGACAUACGCAUAAGCCUAUGAAAAUGGUUCUACAAAUAUUGUCUCCCUGAAGUUACAGUGGAGCAGAUCGAAGACGGUAAAUCUUGUCUUCCUGAAGUUACAGUGAAGCAGAUUUAAGCCACCAUCCUAGCUACCUAAAGUUGUAGUGGAGUAGGCUGAAGAUUACAGAUCUUGUCUCCCUAAAGUUACAGUGGAGCAGAUCGAAGAUGGCAAAUCUUGUCUUCCUAAAGUUGCAGUGAAGUAUAUUUAAGCCAUCAUCCUAGCUCCCUAAAGUUGUAGUGGAGUGGGCUGAAGAUUGUAGAUCUUGUUUCCCUAAAGUUAUAGUGGAGUAGAUCGAAGACGGCGAAUCUUUUCUCUCUGAAGUUGCAGUGGAGCCGAUUUAAGCCACCAUCCUAGCUUCCUAAAGUUGUAGUGGAGUAGGCUGAAUAUUGUAGAUCUUGUUUCCCUGAAGUUGUAGUGGAGCAGAUCGAAGAUGGCGAAUCUUGUCUCUCUGAAGUUGCAGUGGAGUAGAUUUAAGCUACCAUCCUAGUUCCCUAAAGUUGUAGUGGAGUAGGCUGAAGAUUGUAAAUCUUGUUUCCCUGAAGUUGUAGUGGAGCAGAUCGAAGACGGUGAAUCUUGUCUUCCUAAAGUUGCAGUGAAGCAGAUUUAAGCCACUAUCUUAUCCCCCUGAAGUUGCAGUGGAACAGAUCAAAGUCACAAUCCUUACCUAUCUGAAGUUGCAAUAGAGCAGGAUGAAAAUACACGAACCAUACCUCUCUAAAGUUGCAGUGGAGCGUAUUGAAGCUACUUGAAGAAAACAAGCGCCAAGAAGUCGAGACUCAAUAGGUUCUGGCAAAAUUGGCCCAUUUAUAGUCUUUGCUCUAUUCUCGUUAGACGACAGUGAGCAAAGAAGGGCAGCUGUAGUGGGCCAAAUUUGCCCGGCUCAUUACAAACAAACCAAAAACAAAAAAAUAAAAAUAAAAACCCAAUAAUAAAAGUCCAAUAUUAAACUUAACCAAAAUCUAAUCCAAAUACAAGACCAAAAUUUAAAUCUUAUAACAGUCCAAAACUAUUACAAAUAGCCCAAAUUCAAUAGCCUAGUUACAAGCCCGUUUGCAAAACCAAUCAGCCCCAUCUCUAACCCAUAACCCUGUUGGCCCAAUAGGCCCAAUACCUAAACCAAAUUUCAAAAACCCUAGCCUUUGUUUAGUACUACAGCCUCCAGGCGCCGUACAACCUCCAGCCUCGCGCCGUAUGACUGCCAGCUACCUCCAGCAGCCACUCCCGCGACUCCAUACGCCAGCACAGCACCCGUACCUGUAAAUACAGAAAAAUGACAACAACAGAUAGGAGCAAAAAUUGUAUUUUUUUUAUUUCUUUUUAUUUUUUUCUAUCUCUUCGGCUAUAAAGCCAAAAGAUUUCCUAUUUGUAAUGGGUUACGAAAACAGAGGCAAUCAUCGCACAAUACGUAAUACAAAAAAAGCAACUGAUUAAGAGGUGAUUUUGAACGCCAUAUGUUCUGCCUUUUUUUCUUCUGAAAAUUAUUUUUCAUCUUCGGAUCUAGCCCAUUUUCUGUUCUUUUUACAAAAAAGGAGAUAAAAACGAAAACUUACCUUCGUAUGUGAGCCACCGGGGUCUAUCAUCUUCGUCGACAUCGAAGUUUGAGCAGACUUCAAGGCCAAAAUUGGCAGACCUAAGCGCCGGACUCGGAACAGGGGAGAAAAGGGGCACCAUCGGAGGCCAUCAAUCAUCGUUCGUGAUGAUGAAGCCAUGGCUGAGUGGCGCACAGCAUUAGGGUUUCCCCUUCUCCAUCGUUUGUGAUGAUUGCAAUCGGGUUACAUUUUUUAAGUUAGCUAUACUUAAUUUUUAGUUAGUUAAUUGAUUGUAUCUCAUGUGCGUAUUAUCCCAUAUCAUCGUUUUCCACUUGAUUUAUGAAAUUUGAAUUUAUAAGGUCCAAAUCCUUAAGAUUAAUUUCGUUUUAUUUCAAGUCGCAUUAACGCUUUUUAAGCUAUUUUUAUAAUCAUUCUUUUAAAAAUCCUUUAAAACGAAGGCGAUGUUCGAUAUUUGGCAAUUUGUGGAAUCGUGCCCUAACAUGUUGGGUUACAAUUUCUCGUUUGCUUAAAGUAAUCGAAUGUCCCUUUAGAAUUUCAUUCAUGUUUCCUAAAAACCCUUCAAAACGAAGGUAAUAUUCAAUGUUUGGUAAUUCGGGGAAUCGUGCCCUAUCGUGCUGGGUUGCGAUUUCCUGUUUGUCCAAAAUAAUCGAAUAUUCCUUUAGAAUUUUACUCAUGCUCUCUAAAUUCUAAAAUAAGGCAAUGUCUGAUAUCUAGAAAUUCGAUGAGUCGUGCCCUAUUGUGCUGGGUUUCGAUUUUCUCGUUAGACUAAAUAAUCGGGCAUCCUUUUGAGGUUUUCAACAUAUAAUUUUUUGGAAGUCAAAAUUUAUCACGUUUUCGAGGGUAUAAAGGAUCAUGUCCUGUCGUGCUGGAUGUGAUGCCAUAUUCCUCUUAAGCAAGAGGAUUUUGAUGACCAACUCGGGUUGUUCAAAUGUUAUUAAAAGGGACCGCACUUCAAAAAUAUUUUUAAAUCUCAGACAUAAGGACAGUAUCUAAUCGAUUUGGUACCAAACUUGGGCGUAAUGAGGGUGCUAAUCCUUCCUCAUAUGUAACCAACUCCCGAACCCGCUUUCUCAAAUUUCGUAGACCAAAAUCGUUAUUUUAGUGAGCCAAAAUGUUUUAUUAAAACGACCAAAACUUAUUAGGUGAUCCAAUCACACCUGAACAAAAGAUUGGUGGCGACUCUAUUUCCGUUUUUCAAAAAGUCGAUUCCCUGUUUUUUUCAUUAAAUUUAAAAUUUUAAAAAGACUUUGACACCAAAGAUUACCUUACUUCAUAUCUAAUUUCAAUAAUUUUUUAAGAAAAUGGUAUUACUAAUAGCAAUUAUGAGCAAUAUAGUAUAUUAUAAAUUGAAGUAUAGAAUAAGUCUAAUUGUUAGUUUAAAUAAUUAAAUCGAAAUUGUCAAGAGAGGGGUGGAUUGACUUUUAAAAAUUUUAUUAAAGUUAGAGAGAAAAGAUAGAAAAAUUAACACAAAAAUUUAGAGUGGUUCGACCCAAAUUACUUAUUCUACUACUUUAGCUUUUCAUAACUAAGAAUUUUCUCAAAUUCACUAAUUUCAUAAAUUUUAAAGACUAUAUUUAACUUUACAAACUAUCCUACGAUUUUUACCCAAACCUUAAGACGCAAACCUUCUCAAAGAGAUACAAAGAAGAAAACAAAUAAGCAAUCUUUACAAUAUCAAAGUGUUUGUAAAUUAAGUACAAAAAAAAAAACACUUGAGCUAAUAGAACAACAAUGAAGCUCACAAGUGUAUAAAAGAAAAGUAUGAAAUAUUUGACACAUAGGUUGUUUGAUUGAUCUUUUUGCUUGAAUAUUCUUUCUUCUUGUUGUAUGCCAUUUAGAAGCUUAUAUUUAUAUCCUCUAUUUCAUUUUUAACCAUUGUAGUUGUUGAGGAAAUAAAUAGAGUCGUUGGAGAUAAAAAAUAGUAGAUCAUUAAAUUCAUCCGUAACAAAAAGUAUCAAUACAUUUUUUACGAGUAUUGGUUCUAGUAGCAUUUAAUGUUAGUUUUCAACUAUACAAAAGAUGAUUUAUCGGAUACUUGGUAAAAUGUAUUGAUAUAAUCAAGGGCGAAGCCAGAAUAAAUAUUUAGGGGGGCCGGAUAAAAUUUUAAUUUUUUAUAAUUUAUAUCUUUAUAAUUUGUAAAUGAUUAAAUCAAAUUUUUAUAACUUUUAGGGGGCCAAAGUGCAAUUUCACCAUUACUAAUUUAAAAUUUUUUUAAAAAAAUUAAGGGCCAAAAGAGCAAAUUUACAUUUUAAGGGGGGCCGGGGCCCAUGCCAGCCCCCUUGGCUUCGCCCCUGGAUAUAAUUUUAAUGAGUAUCAAUACUUUUUGUCAUUGUUUGAAAAUUCAUAAAAAUAGAAUGCAAAAGUGGUAUCGAUAUAAAAAGAUGGUAUUGGUAAAAAUUUAAUAGGUAUCGAUAUCAUUUGAAAAGUUUUGAUACUUAUUACUUUUGUUUAUUCAAGAGACUAAGCAACUUUGGUAUCGAUAAAAAUCAUACAGGUAUCAAUAAUUUUUGAAAAACAUCAAUACUUUCUUGGAGAGCAAUUUUUCAAGUGAUUUAAAAUUGUUUCUAUCGAGUUCAAGAGUUUAAAACAGUUUUUGGACUUUGUCCAAAAUUUUCUAAGUAUUCAAAAUAUUUUCUAAGAUAUUUGAAAGUCUUGAAAUAAUUUUUAUUCUUUGAACUUAAUAAUUUAUUUGUUUAAAAAUAAAUUUUAUUCAAAAACAUUUUGUUUGUUAUAUCAAAAAAAUAUCAAAUAAAUCUAGUUUAACAAUCUCCCCUUUUUUGAUAUAACAAAACAUUUCGGUAAAUUUAUUUUUGAAUGUUUUACUUUUUCUUAUUAGAGUUCAAUUUGAAUCAAUGGUUUAAUUUUAUGAAUUUAAAAGCAAUGACUUGAGAAUUGGUCACUUUAAUGUUGGCAUUAAAAGAUUAGUCAUAAAAAUAAUCAACCAAAUACCAAUUGAAUUUACCUUACUCUUCUCUUCUCCCCUUUUUGUUAUAUAAAAAAAAAAUCACUAAGGAAGCUUUAAGAGAGAAAUGUUGUUAGUCCAAAAAUAAAAAUUGAAAGAUAUGAAAAC